CUCAAAAAAUUUCGAGCAAAUGGGAAGCAUGAAGAGGUUAGUAUAUACACAUGUUCUGGUGUGCUCUCUCAUCAAAUAAUUUUCAUUGUGGGUUAAUCAUCUCAUAACAUAAGGAGUGUUUGCUUGAUGGGCAUUCAGACCAAAUGAUGAACGAAUUAGAUCCUAGGUUCUCCAAAAGAUGACAUUGUGUUUUGCUUCCGUUACCUCAUAGAUUUUCAGCCUUUGCGUCAAAAUGAUUUUAUGCAUUUGUUUUCGCACUAACUUGUAUUUUUUUAAGCACAACCAUCCAUAUAUGUAAAAAAAACUCAUGGCCACUUGUGCGAUUGAUAGAAAUCAGUUAACAUCUCAAUUUCCUCAUGUGCUAUUGUAUGACUAUGGAGGUUUUUCUAACAUGAUCCUUCUUACCUCCCCUUUUCACAUGAGACGUAAGAGUAUAAAGUAAAUCUGAGUCAUUGACUGCAUUAAGUAGUGGGCUUGACUAAAUCUUACCUUCUUAACUCCCAUGUGAAAAGAUGGGGUAAGAGGAAGCAUGUUAAAAUGGCUCAUGAACGGUGCUGCCGCCAGUGGCAGAGCUUGAGCAUAAUCCAAGAGGGCCAUUACUUGAAGGGGGGGAAAUUAGAAGGGAAGGAGGGGAAAAUAUCUAGUUUAAACACUAGUUAGGCUUAAAAUAUAGUAUAUUCAUUGAUGGGUGCAAAAAUUAAGGGGGGCCAUGGCCCCUGUUGGUCUACAUGAAGCUCCGCCACUUGCUGCCGCACAUUCUACAGUAUUGUUAUAGACACUGACUGACUCUUAUUUUUGCACUAUAUCCAAAUGUACUAGCAGUCAUAAGACACCAAUCUGUCAGGAUCUCGGCUUUUGGCCUUCUGCUAGGAUGCACUAAAGAUAUUGAUAAGUCUCGCCAUUCCUGGAUGUUGUGAAGGUUACCUGACUGGAACAGAUUGUUCUGGAGAAGGAUAUGGAGGCGCGGCAAACCUAAAGCAACGAUGAUGCAACAAAUGGAAUGUGAUCGAGAAUGGUAUUAUCUACAUGUGCACACCAGAGAGCAUACAAAUUAGGGUCUGCAUGGACGACCAAAACACAUGGCAUUUUUUAUCAACUAGACCAUCCUUUUUUCUUUGAUCUACUAACAUUGGUUGCCAUUUCGGGCUUUUGGGCCGACCUUCGGGCGAGAAAUUGAAGCCCAAGCCUACCCCAGAUGUCGGGCUUUGGGCUCAGGCCUCUGGGCCGGGUAGUCCAUGAACAGGUUUAGUUUGAUCUAUUCACUCACAUUUUGAUCCUCAUUCAUUAUAGCAUUUAACCAUAAUUCAUAUGAACAUGCACCACGAGAAUAUAAUAAAGGAAAUGCAUGGGCUAAUUUGUAGUACACAACGCCUUAUUGUGCGGUAUCACAAGAACAUUUUUCUCCUUGAUUACAAUAGUAACUACUAUGCAAUCUUAUAUAUCAAAUCAUAUAUUAUAUGACAAAUUAAGUAUAUUGUUUUGCUUAUUUCAGUAUUACCUUCAUAAGGAAUAUAGUCACAAGUUUUGCUCCAAACGCAACGUUAUUGAGUUCAUACGAAAUGGAACUGUGAAAGGGAAGUCGGUUCAGAAGGUGCCUAAAUACUUGACUUUCAAACAUAUAGUAAUUAUGCGAAGAUGUAUAUGUUUUUUGUAUUAACUUUAAAGUAUUAAUUUGACACGGUAUCCUAUUUUUGCACAGAGAUCAUCUGAUACUUCUAUGAACAAUCUUCAGGGUAUGUCCAGUUGGCCCCAUGCAUUUGGAUAUUAUUUUGUAUACUAUUAUUACUAUACAGAGAUAUCUAACUGAAACUGAAAUAUAAUAAAUAUUCAUGGAGAGAAAAAUAGACAUUAAUGUCCACAUACACAACAAAAUUAACCAGUACUGUCCUAGUUUACAUGAAUUAAUAUUUUCAAUGACAAUUAGGUUACUCAUGACAUGAUAAAGAAAAAAAAUGUGAGGUAAGAUAAGGUUUUCUAUAAUUUUUCAUGGGGACCUCCUCAUGGUUGCAGAUACAUAGUUUUACAGUGCUUCAUGAAAUAGUUGCAUAUCAUCAUGUCUAAAAGAAUCAUGACGGACACAACUUCAAGAAAUUCUUCUUGUAAAAUAACAUGAUUUGUAUAUACCUCAUAAAGGAUGUAACUUGUUGGUAGCAUUUAAUAUUGUGACACACUCGCCAUCUUUUGUGCCAGCAUUAUUUGGGUGAUGAUUUAAUAUCCAAAAGCAUACAUCAAGGUAGUUAUGUGCAAUGAUAUUCUUGUGAAAAUAACUUCCAUAGUGUAUACUUGCAUAUAUGUAUUGCUCUAUUGUAUUCUCACAGUUAAUCCUUUUUCUUAAUUUUUUGUUUGUUUAUUUAUGUUUAGAGCAAGAUUAUAAAUUAAGCUGAGCAUAAUUUCUGCAGAUUAUAGAUGGCCCACUGAAAGACAAAGGGCGAAGGCGCAAACUUCAAAUAAUUCUUCUUGCCACAUAGGUUUUUCUAAUUGUGCGAGCAUACCACUUGUAACUGCCUUCAGUCAUCUAUGUCAGUAGUAUUUUGAGAAGAAUUUCAUUACAAAAUGCAAUGACUCAAACAAUCAGAUUGUUCAUGAUGAUUCCUAAUUGUAUAACCAAUAAGCUUAACGCACCUUCCUAUUUUAGAGUUGUUAUGUUAAUAAGUAUAUACUAUCUGUUAUUAAUGUUGUUAAUGGGUGAAGAACAUUUGUUGCUCAUGGUUAGAAUGUAGAAUUUUCUUAAUACAACAACCUAGAGCGAAUGUGGAGGCCAAUAUAGAUUGAAACCAUUAAUUCAUAUUAAAAUGGUCAUGACUUCUUAUUUUUAUUUGACAUAAAUGUUUGUGACUUGUUUGAAUUAAUGUGUUCUGCAAUUAUAUGAUACUUGCGUAUUCAUACUAUUUUUAUGAAUUGUGCAGCUAGUUUGUCGACAGGAGCACGAACAACCACAACUUCUACAAAGCUUCCACAUGGUUUCAUCUAGUAUCAUGCAAAAGACAUUGAGACAAUCAAGAUUACUUGAGCAACCUGAAUUAUGUUAGUUGUUACCUGCUUUCAAACGAAUGUGUCCUCUCAUAGUAUGCAUGUACUUCUGUUGUUGAGGAAUUUAUAUCAUUAGACAGUUCUGUUUUUCAUAAUUAUUGAUUAAUGGGUACAUACCUUCAAUCCUGGAAGAUUAUCAGAUAGCCAGUCAAGGAAGCAAUUUAUUUAUUGAAUUGUGCAUAAUAGGAACAUUUUUACAUUCAAAGGAACAUCAUAGGAAUAAUUUGGUAUUUCGAGAAGAUUUUCCAGUCCCCUGCCCCAACCUACUGGAGACAGUAUGAGUGGUGACAGACACAUUUGUAACAUACGAGCAAGCUAGUGCAGCAGCUUCAGUCACAUGCUCUGGAAGCCCAUUUUGGGUCUUCCUUCAGAAGGCUCAACAAGGCCAUCAUCACACCAUUCUAGUUAGUUACUUCUGCAACGAUAUAUGUCCUUAAGAAAAUAAGAAGCUAGGGUUCUAGUAGACUUAUAAUGCUCUAGCAGCACCACGUUGGAUAUGCUCGCACAAAUAAAAUAACAUGAAUCGAGUCUAUAUGUAAGCACAUAUCUUGUCACCAGUCAACUACUAGUACAGUAAGAGCAUCAAAGAGGAAUUCAUUUCAUAUAGAAUAGUCGCAAUCAUAUACUUCUGUUCUGCACAUACUGCUCAUUAUCAUGGACAAUGAUGUAGCUAGAUAAAAGGGAGCAUGUGGCAAUAAUGUAAGCAGGGAGGCUCCAGGGAAGAGCUCAACAGACAGAACUAACCUGCUCUUGCAAGGAACCAGUAAGCCUUGCUACAUUGUCACCUUCAUGCUGCAUGGCAUCGUGUCCACCAGCUAUUGUGGUAUGUCGCAAAUCUUUCCUCUCAUCUUUUCACCGAAAGCGAUCGUUGGCGAAUUCUAAUCUUUCUGGAACAACAUUCCUAAUUCCCUGCACUAGAAGGUCAUCAUGAUGCAUCGGUACAUCGGAAUUCCGGCCACAUUAACAAAAUCUUUGCCCAAACCAAAUUAAGGUAGAAAUGAGAAAUGAAGGAGAGCACCAAAUAGUAAGUUAGGUUACACACAUAUAUAUAGAAAUGCCGUUCAUAGUAAAAACAACAGGAAGUGUAUCCAUGUUGUUUGCUUAGGUGGCUGAAACCAAGGUCCUAUUCACUGGGAUGAUAAACCUACUAAAUAAAAGGGUUCUCAAAGUCCCCUCAGAACUAGAGUCGAGUAACACAGUCAUGAUCCCAUGGGGUUUCAGGAUAACGACAUGCAAAUGUGGUUAACACAAUCAGCUCUCUCAUUAAGAUUUGUCUUAUUUUUUAUCACUACAGGAAAAUUCAUGUUUGCCGAGUGUCAGUGUCUUUGCUGAGUGCAUUUUGUUGGGCACUCAGCAAACAUAUCUUUGCCGAGUGUAAUCCUGAAACACGGUAAACAGGUGCUUUGCCGACUGUCGUGGAAAAAACACUGGCAAAAAAGUUAUAGUUGCUAAAAUGUGCUUUGUUGAGUGUCUUGGAAAUAACUCUCAGCAAAAUAGUGGAACUCAGGCAAAGAUGUGCUUUCUCGAGUGCUACACUCGGCAAAAGGGGGUAUGCACUGCGCUCACUGUUUUGGCCGUCGAGAUUGCAUACAACCUCGGAUGAAGAUGAUCCAAAAAUCAAAGUUUUACAUUUCGACGUGAUGAAUAAUUUUCAUGUUGAGGACCUUUUCCUUUUAGACCAUAUUAUUUACACUUAUUGCCAUGCCAAAGUAUGGUCUCAAAUGAAUAAGGCGGUGGUCAUAUUUAUUGCAAUUUACGACUAUGGGCCUAACCUUGGCAUUUAUGUGCAUCUGGCCAUUACAAACAAUGUUGCCAAAUAGAGUUUCCAACAUUUCGUACAAAGAUAAUUUUUCUAUUUUUGAAGUGUAAAAAAUUGAUACUUUUGUGAAGCUGGUACAAAAAUCGAGUGCAAAAUGGCAUCACUCCAAUUUUCACAAAAAUAGACCAUAUUUUUUGGAAAAUUCCCAUUUUUUGUGGAUUUUCUAGAUUUCUAGCUACUUUCACACAUUUAAAUGACUUUAUUAUGAUUCCGCAAAAUUAAUUCAAUUUGAACUGUAAUUGUGUGAUAGCUCUAUCCUACAAAUUUGCAAAAAUAUACUUUUAGGUACACAAGUAGUCAUUACAUGGAAACCCCACUUAGAGUUUGAGAGAUUCAACCCCUUGACAUGAAUAGACAUGCCGGCCACUUUCACCCCGUUUUGGAAAAAAUGAAACAAGAAGGAUACAAGUUCAAAAAAUGCAAUCCUUUCAUAUGGACUCCUUUUAUGUGUACUAGUGUAGAUGAAAAUACCAAACUUUCAAUAUGACAGUUUUGAAAGAAAAAUAUCCUGCACAAAUGGGCUAUCCUCUAUGAACAUUCAUGGCUUUCAAGUCAAAUGACCAAGGUGAUGACCAUAUUCAUUGCAUAGUUUAUUAUAAUGUGCCCAAAUUAGACAUAUAGGUGAACCUUGCCAUUACAAAUAAUGUUGCAAAAUAGGGUUGAAGGAAAUAUGCCCUAGAGGCAAUAAUAAAGUUAUUAUUUAUUUCCUUAUUUCAUGAUAAAUGUUUAUUAUUCAUGCUAGAAUUGUAUUAACCGGCAACAUAAUACAUGUGUGAAUACAUAGACAAACAUAGUGUCACUAGUAUGCCUCUACUUGACUAGCUCGUGAAUCAAAUAUGGUUAAGUUUCCUAGCCAUGGACAAAAGAGUUGUCAUUUGAUUAACGGGAUCACAUCAUUAGGAGAAUGAUGUGAUUGACUUGACCCAUUCCGUUAGCUUAGCACUUGAUCGUUUAGUAUGUUGCUAUUGCUUUCUUCAUGACUUAUACAAAGUUCCUACAACUAUGAGAUUGUGCAACUCCCGCUUACCGGAGGAACACUUUGUGUGCUACCAAACGUCACAACGUAACUGGGUGAUUAUAAAGGUGCUCUACAGGUGUCUCCAAAGGUACAUGUUGAGUUGGCAUAAUUCGAGAUUAGGUUUUGUCACUCCGAUUGUCGGAGAGGUAUCUCUGGGCCCUCUCGGUAAUACACAUUACUUAAGCCUUGCAAGCAUUGCAACUAAUGAGUUAGUUGUGGGAUGAUGUAUUACGGAACGAGUAAAGAGACUUGCCGGCAACGAGAUUGAACUAGGUAAUCGAUACCGACGAUCGAAUCUCGGGCAAGUAACAUACCGAUGACAAAGGGAACAACGUAUGUUGUUAUGCGGUUUGACCGAUAAAGAUCUUCGUAGAAUAUGUAGGAACCAAUAUGAACAUCCAGGUUCCGCUAUUGGUUAUUGACCGAGAAUAGUUCUAUGUCAUGUCUACAUAGUUCUCGAACCCGUAGGGUCCGCACGCUUAACGUUACAAUGACAGUUUUAUUAUGAGUUUAUAAGUUUUGAUGUACCGAAGGUUGUUCGGAGUACCAGAGGAGUCUCGAAAUGGUCGAGACACAAAGAUUGAUAUAUUGUACGGAUAUAUUUGGACACCGGAAAGGUUCCGGAUGAGAUUGGGACUAUACCGGAGUUUCGGGAGGUUACCGGAACCCCCCGGUAAGUAUAUGGGCCUUAUUGGGCCUUAGUGGAAGGGAGGGAGAAGGAUCAAAGGAGGGGGUGCCCCCCCCCAAGCCCAAUCCGAAUUGGGAGGGGGGCCGGCCCCCCCUUUCCUUCUUCCCUCCCCUCUCUUCCUUCCCUCUCCUACUCCUAAUAGGAAAGGGGGGCCAAACCUACUUGGAGUAGGUUUGCCCCCCUAGGGCGCGCCUCCCCUCUUGGUCGGCCCCCUCCUCCUCUCCCCCUUUAUAUACGGAGGAGGGGGCACCCCAUAGACACACAAGUUGAUCUACGGAUCAUUCCUUAGCCGUGUGCGGUGCCCCCCUCCACCAUAUUCCACCUCAGUCAUAUCGUCGCAGAGUUUAGGCGAAGCCCUGCGCCGGUAGAACAUCAUCAUCGUCACUACACCGUCGUGCUGACGGAACUCAUCCCCGACGCUUUGCUGGAUUGGAGCCGGGGAACAUCAUCGAGCUGAACGUGUGCUGAACACGGAGGUACCGUACGUUCGGUGCUUGAAUCGGUCGAGUCGUGAAGACGUACGACUACAUCAACCGCGUUCUGAUAACGCUUCUGCUUACGGUCUACGAGGGUACGUGGACAAUACUCUCCUCUCUCGUUGCUAUGCCAUCACCAUGAUCUUGCAUGUGCGUAGGACAUUUUUUGAAAUUACUACGUUACUCAACAGUGGCAUCCGAGCCUAGGUUUUAUGCGUUAAUGUUAUAUGCACGAUUAGAACACAAGUGAGUUGUGGGCGAUACAAGUCAUACUGCUUACCAGCAUGUCAUACUUUGGUUCGGCGGUAUUGUUGGAUGAAGCGGCCCAGACCGACAUUACGCGUACACUUACGCGAGACUGGUUUUACCGCCGUGCUUUGCACACAGGUGACUAGCGGGUGUCAGUUUCUCCAACUUUAGUUGAACCGAGUGUGGCUGCGCCCGGUCCUUGUGAAGGUUAAAACAGCACCAACUUGACAAACUAUCGUUGUGGUUUUGAUGCGUAGGUAAGAACGAUUCUUGCUCAGCCCGUAGCAGCCACGUAAAACUUGCAACAACAAAGUAGAGGACGUCUAACUUGUUUUUGCAGGGCAUGUUGUGAUGUGAUAUGGCCAAGACGUGAUGCUAUAUUUUAUUGUAUGAAGUGAUCAUGUUUUGUAACCGAAGUUAUCGGCAACUGGCAGGAGCCAUAUGGUUGUCGCUUUAUUGUAUGAAAUGCAAACGCCCUGUAAUUGCUUUACUUUAUCACUAAGUGGUAGCGAUAGUCGUAGAAGCAAUAGAUGGCGUAAACGACAAUGAUGCUACGAUGGAGAUCAAGGUGUCGCGCCGGUGACGAUGGUGAUCACGAUGGUGCUUCGGAGAUGGAGAUCACAAGCACAAGAUAAUGAUGGCCAUAUCAUAUCACUUAUAUUGAUUGCAUGUGAUGUUUAUCCUUUAUGCAUCUUAUCUUGCUUUGAUUGACGGUAGCAUUUUAAGAUGAUCACUCACUAAAAAUUAUCAAGAAGUGUUCUCCCUGAGUAUGCACCGUUGCCAAAGUUCGUCGUGCCCAGACACCACGUGAUGAUCGGGUGUGAUAAGCUCUACGUCCAUCUACAAUGGGUGCAAGCCAGUUUUGCACACGCGGAAUACUCAGGUUAAACUUGACGAGCCUAGCAUAUGCAGAUUGGCCUCGGAACACGGAGACCGAAAGGUCGAGCGUGAAUCAUAUAGUAGAUAUGAUCAACAUAAUGAUGUUCACCAUUGAAAGCUACUCCAUUUCACGUGAUAAUCGGUUAUGGUUUAGUUGAUUUGGAUCACGUGAUCACUUAGAGGAUUAGAGGGAUGUCUUUCUAAGUGGGAGUUCUUAAGUAAUAUGAUUAAUUGAACUUAAAUUUAUCAUGAACUUAGUCCUGGUAGUAUUUUGCAAAUUAUGUUGUAGAUCAAUAGCUUGCGUUGUUGCUUUCAUAUGUUUAUUUUGAUAUGUUCCUAGAGAAAAUUGUAUUGAAAGAUGUUAGUAGCAAUGAUGCGGAUUGGAUCCGUUAUCUGAGGUUUAUCCUCAUUGCUGCACAGAAGAAUUAUGUCCUUAAUGCACUGCUAGGUGACAGACCUAUUGCAGGAGCAGAUGCAGACGUUAUGAACGUUUGGCUAGCUCAAUAUGAUGACUACUUGAUAGUUUAGUGCACCAUGCUUAACGGCUUAGAAUCGGGACUUCAAAGACAUUUUGAAUGUCAUGGACCAUAUGAGAUGUUCCAGGAGUUGAAGUUAAUAUUUCAAGCAAAUACCCGAGUUGAGAGAUAUGAAGUCUCCAACAAGUUCUAUAGCUAAAAGAUGGAGGAGAAUCGCUCAACUAGUGAGCAUGUGCUCAGAUUGUCUGGGUACUAGAAUCGCUUGAAUCAAGUGGGAGUUAAUCUUCCAGAUAAGAUAGUGAUUGACAGAAUACUCUAGUCACCAUCACCAAAUUAGUAGAACUUCGUGAUGAACUAUAGUAUGCAAGGGAUGACGAAAACGAUUCCCAAGCUCUUCGUGAUGCUGAAAUCGAUGAAGAUAAAAAUCAAGAAAAGCAUCAAGUGUUGAUGGUUGACAAGACCACUAGUUUCAAGAAAAGGGCAAAGGGAAGAAGUGGAACUUCAAGAAGAACGGCAAGCAAGUUUCUGCUCAAGUGAAGAAGCCCAAGUCUGGUCCUAAGCCUAAGACUAAGUGCUUCUACUGCAAAGGGACUAGUCACUGGAAGUGGAACUGCCCCAAGUAUUUGGCGGAUAAGAAGGAUGGCAAAAGUGAACAAAGGUAUAUUGGAUAUACAUGUUAUUGAUGUGUACUUUACUAGUGUUUAUAGCAACCCCUCGGCAUUUUGAUAUUGGUUCAGUUGCUAAGAGUAGUAACUCGAAACAGGAGUUGCAGAAUAAACAGUAAAUAGUAAAAAGGCGAGGUGACGAUGUGUGUUGGAAGUAGUUCCAAGAUUGAUAUGAUCAUCAUCGCACACUCCCUAUACUUUCGGGAUUAGUGUUGAAACUAAAUAAGUGUUAUUUGGUGUUUGCGUUGAGCAUGAAUAUGAUUUGAUCAUGUUUAUUGCAAUACGGUUAUUCAUUUAAGUAAGAGAAUAAAUUGUUGUUCUGUUUACAUGAAUAAAACCUUAUAUGGUUACCCACCCAAUGAAAAUGGUUCGUUGGAUCUCGAUCAUAGUGACACACAUAUUCAUAAUAUUGAAACCAAAAGAUGCAAAGUUAAUAAUGAUAGUGCAACUUAUUUGUGGCACUGCAGUUUAGGUCAUAUUGGUGUAAAGCGCAUGAAGAAACUCCAUGCUGAUGGGAUUUUGGAAUCACUUGAUUAUGAAUCACUUGAUGCUUGCGAACCAUGCCUUAUGGGCAAGAUGACUAAAGACUCCGUUCUCCGGAACAAUAGAGCGAGCAACUGACUUAUUGGAAAUAAUACAUACGGAUGUAUGCAAUCCGAUGAGUGUUGAGGCUCGCGGCAAGUAUCAUUAUUUUCUGACCUUCACAGAUGAUUUGAGCAGAUAUGGGUAUAUCUACUUAAUGAAACAUAAGUCUGAAACGUUUGAAAAGUUCAAAGAAUUUCAGAGUGAAGUUGAAAAUUAUCGUAACAAGAAAAUAAAAUUUCUACGAUCUGAUAGUGGAGGAGAAUGUUUGAGUUACGAGUUUGGUCUACAUUUGAAACAAUGCGGAAUAGUUUCGCAACUCACGCCACCCGGAACACCACAGCGUAAUGGUGUGUUCGAACGUCAUAACCGUACUUUAUUGGAUAUUGUACAAUCUAUGAUGUUUCUUACCGAUUUACCACUAUCCUUUUUGGGGUCAUGCAUUAAAGAUAGCUGGAUUCACGUUAAAAAAGGGGCACCACCUAAGUCCAUUGAGACGACACAAUAUGAACUGUGGUUUGGCAAGAAACCAAAGUUGUCGUUUCUUAAAGUUUGGGAUUGCGAUGCUUAUGUGAAAAAGUUUCAUCCUGAUAAACUCAAACCCAAAUCGGAGAAAUGUGUCUUCAUAGGAUACCCAAAGGAGAAAGUUGGGUACACCUUCUAUCACAAAUCCGAAGGCAAGACAUUCGUUGCUAAGAAUGGAUCCUUUCUAGAGAAAGAGUUUCUCUCCAAAGAAGUGAGUGGGAGGAAAGUAGAACUUGAUAAGGUAAUUGUACCUUCUCCCUUAUUGGAAAGUAGUUCAUCACAGAGAUCUGUUCCUGUGACUACUACACCAAUUAGUGAGGAAGCUAAUGAUGAUGUUCAUGUAACUUCAGAUCAAGUUACUACCGAAUCUCGUAGGUAAACCAGAGUAAGAUCCGCACCAGAGUGGUACGGCAAUCCUGUUCUGGAAGUCAUGCUACUAGAUCAUGAUGAACCUACAAACUAUGAAGAAGCGAUGGUGAGCCCAGAUUCCGCAAAAUGGCUUGAGGCCAUGAGAUCUGAGAUAAGAUCCAUGUAUGAAAACAAAGUAUGGACUUUGAUUGACUUGCCCAAUGAUCGGCGAGACAUUGAGAUUAAAUGGAUCUUCAAGAGGAAGACGGACGCUGAUAGUGUUACUAUCUACAAAGCUAGAAUUGUCGCAAAAGGUUUUCGACAAGUUCAAGGUGUUGACUACGAUGCGAGUUUUUCACUCGUAUCUAUGCUUAAGUCUGUCUGAGUCAUGUUAGCAAUUGCCAAAUUUUACGAAAUCUGGCAAAUGGAUGUCAAAACUGCAUUCCUUAAUGGAUUUUUUAAAGAAGAGUUGUAUAUGAUGCAACCAGAAGGUUUUGUCGAUCCGAAAGGUGCUAACAAAAUGUGCAAGCUCCAGCGAUCCAUCAAUGGACUGGUGCAAGCAUCUCGGAGUUGGAAUAUACGCUUUGAUAAGUUGAUCAAAGCAUAUAGUUUUAAUACAGACUUGCGGUGAAGCCUGUAUUUACAAGAAAGUGAGUGGGAGCACUACAGCAUUUCUGAUAAGUAUAUGUGAAUGACAUAUUGUUGAUCGGAAAUAAUGUAGAAUUUUUCUGGAAAGCAUAAAGGAGUAUUUGAAAGGAGUUUUUCAAAGAAAGACCUUGGUGAAGCUGCUUACACAUUGAGCAUCAAGAUCUAUAGAGAUAGAUCAAGACGCUUGAUAAGAUUUUUCAAUGAGUACAUACCUUGACAAGAUUUUGAAGUAAUUCAAAAUGGAACAGUCAAAGAAAGAGUUCUUGCCUAUGUUGCAAGGUGUGAAGUUGAGUAAGACUCAAAACCCGACCAUGGCAGAAAAUAGAAAAGAAUGAACAGUCAUUCCCUAUGCCUCAGUCAUAGGUUCUAUAAAGUAUGCUAUGCUGUGUACUAGACCUAUUGUAUACCUUCCUCUGAGUUUGCCAAAGGAAUACAAUUUUGAUCUAAAAGUAGAUCACUAGAACAGCGGUCAAGAAUAUCCUUAGUGAGGACUAAGGAAAUGUUUCUCGAUUAUGGAGGUGAUAAAAGAGCCAGUCAUAAAAAGUUACAACGAUGCAAGCUUUUACACCAAUCCAGAUGACUCUAAGUCUCAAUCUGGAUACAUAUUGAAAGUGGGAGCAAUUAGCUAGAGUAGCUCUGUGCAGAGCAUUGUGGACAUAGAAUAUUUGCAAAAUACAUACGGCUCUGAAUGUGACAGACCCGUUGACUAAACUUCUCUCAUGAACAAAACAUGAUCAUACCUUAGUACUCUUUGGGUCUUAAUCACAUAGCCAUGUGAACUAGAUUAUUGACUCUAGUAAACCCUUUGGGCGUUGGUCACAUGACGAUGUGAACUAUGGGUAUUAAUCACAUACAUAUGUGAAUAUUGGUGUCAAAUCACAUGGUGAUGUGAACUAGAUUAUUGACUCUAGUGCAAGUGGGAGACUGAAGGAAAUAUGCCCUAGAGGCAAUAAUAAAGUUAUUAUUUAUUUCCUUAUUUCAUGAUAAAUGUUUAUUAUUCAUGCUAGAAUUGUAUUAACCGGAAACAUAAUACAUGUGUGAAUACAUAGACAAACAUAGUGUCACUAGUAUGCCUCUACUUGACUAGCUCGUGAAUCAAAGAUGGUUAAGUUUCCUAGCCAUGGACAAAAGAGUUGUCAUUUUAUUAACGGGAUCACAUCAUUAGGAGAAUGAUGUGAUUGACUUGACCCAUUCCGUUAGCUUAGCACUUGAUCGUUUAGUAUGUUGCUAUUGCUUUCUUCAUGACUUAUACAAAGUUCCUACAACUAUGAGAUUGUGCAACUUCCGUUUACCGAGGAACACUUUGUGUGCUACCAAACGUCACAACGUAACUGGGUGAUUAUAAAGGUGCUCUACAGGUGUCUCCAAAGGUACAUGUUGAGUUGGCAUAAUUCGAGAUUAGGUUUUGUCACUCCGAUUGUCGGAGAGGUAUCUCUGGGCCCUCUCGGUAAUACACAUCACUUAAGCCUUGCAAGCAUUGCAACUAAAGAGUUAGUUGUGGGAUGAUGUAUUACGGAACGAGUAAAGAGACUUGCCGGCAACGAGAUUGAACUAGGUAUUGGAUACCGACGAUCGAAUCUCGGGCAAGUAACAUACCGAUGACAAAGGGAACAACGUAUGUUGUUAUGCGGUUUGACCGAUAAAGAUCUUCGUAGAAUAUGUAGGAACCAAUAUGAACAUCCAGGUUCCGCUAUUGGUUAUUGACCGAGAAUAAUUUUAGGUCAUGUCUACAUAGUUCUCGAACCCGUAGGGUCCGCACGCUUAACGUUACGAUGACAGUUUUAUUAUGAGUUUAUAAGUUUUGAUGUACCGAAGGUUGUUCGGAGUACCAGAUGUGAUCACGGACAUGACGAGGAGUCUCGAAAUGGUCGAGACAUAAAGAUUGAUAUAUUGGACAGAUAUAUUUGGACACCGGAAAGGUUCCGGAUGAGAUUGGGACUAUACCGGAGUUCCGGGAGGUUACCGGAACCCCCCGGUAAGUAUAUGGGCCUUAUUGGGCCUUAGUGGAAGGGAGGGAGAAGGAGCAAAGGAGGGGGCGCCCCCCCCCCCCAAGCCCAAUCCGAAUUGGGAGGGGGGCUGGCCCCCCCUUUCCUUCUUCCCUCCCCUCUCUUCCUUCCCUCUCCUACUCCUAAUAGGAAAGGGGGGCCAAACCUACUUGGAGUAGGUUUUCCCCCCUAGGGCGCGCCUCCCCUCUUGGCCGCCCCCCUCCUCCUCUCCCCCUUUAUAUACGGAGGAGGGGGGCACGCCAUAGACACACAAGUUGAUCUACGGAUCGUUCCUUAGCCGUGUGCGGUGCCCCCCUCCACCAUAUUCCACCUCGGUCAUAUCGUCGCAGAGUUUAGGCGAAGCCCUGCGCCGGUAGAACAUCAUCAUCGUCACCACGCCGUCGUGCUGACGGAACUCAUCCCCGACGCUUUGCUGGAUUGGAGCCUGGGGAACGUCAUUGAGCUGAACGUGUGCUGAACACGGAGGUGCCGUACGUUCGGUGCUUGGAUCGGUCGAGUCGUGAAGACGUACGACUACAUCAACCGCGUUGUGAUAACGCUUCCGCUUACGGUCUACGAGGGUACGUGGACAAUACUCUCCUCUCUCGUUGCUAUGCCAUCACCAUGAUCUUGCAUGUGCGUAGGAAAUUUUUUGAAAUUACUACGUUACCCAACAAGGGUUUCCAACUUUUUUUGUAAAAAAACCAUUUUCUAUUUUCUAAAUGUAAAAAAGGGUGCUUUGUGUGAAGCAUGUACCAAAAACAGGGUACAAAAUGGCACCACUCCAAUUUUCACAAAAAUUAGACCGUAUUUUAUGGACAAUUCCCAAAAUCUGUAGAUUUAUCUCUAAAAAAUUAACAAUUGGUGUAUUUUUUUAAUAUUUAAUAAAAAUAAUAUAUAUUUUUAAUGGGAAAGGCAGAUAUUAAAAGGAUACCAUGGACAUCUGAGGGUGUACGUUGAAGCGUUGGAGGUGCCUUUACGUGCCAGUUUACGACGUGCUCAACCGGGAAUGUGGUAGUAUUAAUCAGUAUAUACUUUUAAAAAUCAAUAUAUAAUUUGUUUGGAUUAUUUUAGUUUGCAGGGCAAACUUAAAAUGGAUUUAUUUAGCCUAUUUUUGUGAAAUCACUAAUUAGGAGGUACCUUUUGCAAAGGUCACACCCCACUUUCAUUAGUGCUGACAGGUGGCACAUGGCAUGUGUGUCCCUUGUCGCAACAUGGGAGUUUGCCCUUUUUGUAGAUUCAUUUUUUUUAAUCUUUUAUCUCUUGAACCGCGCAUUCAAAUCACGACCCAUUUUUAUCGUUGGAUUUCUCACGCCGAGAUCUUUGAAACUAGUCACAUGUUAAUAAGUUCCGAUGAACUUUUUCUUCACGAAAAUCAAACAAAAAAAUAUGAAAACAAAAAAUACAGAAAGCAAAAAAAGAAAAAAAAAACUAAAAUCACGGUUGUGCUUUUUUACAUUUUUGGGAAGAAAAAUUGUGCUUUCCCCUUUUUGGGAAACACGGUUUUGCUUCUUGUGAAAGCAUAGGUUGUGCUUUUCCCUUUUCAAGAAGCAUAGGCCAUGCUUCUCUUGUUCUCCGGGAAGCACAUAUGUGCCUUUCCUUUCGGGGAGCACAGUUUUCUCUUUCGGAAAAGCAUAGAUGUGUUUUUCCCUUUUCAGAGAAGCACUACCUAUGCAUCUCACCGAAGAACAUGCUGUGCUUUUCCUUUUUUGAGGAAGUAUAGUUGUGCUUUCCCUUUUUUACAGGGUAGCAAAAAUUGUGCUUUCUUCCUUCUCGGGAAGCUAUGCUUCCCGCGGAAAAGCACCGCCUCAUGAAAAAACAUAAAAAUGAUUUUUUUUUCAUCAAAACCUAGGGAAAACCAAGAAAAAAAGAAAACAUGUGUAAAAAAAUCUAAGGGUGAACCCAGUGCACGACACGUGGCGGCAAUUGGACGCAUCACUUGAUGCGCUCUCAGGUCCUAAAAGUAGCCUAUGUGGAAUCCCCCGAUGAGAUACCCGUUAGAUAGUUGGAGACCUCCUUGCAUCAAAUAGGAGGGUGGCCACAAAGGGGGCGCAUCCUGGUGGGCCGGCCCAGCAGCGUGCUACACUCUAGCGCAAAUUGGUCAAAAUCUAAAAAGUGAUGUGUGAUCAAAGCGCGCAUGGCUAGCCACUCAAGCUAAUGAAACUCUGCUAACUACUAGGCCGUGUUGAACUUUAAAAAGUACUAUAUGAUACCCCGCGCGUUGUUGCGGGAACUCUUAGUACUUUACAUGAAGAAGCUUGUGGAGUGAAAAUAAUUAAAUGAUGAAAAUAUACACUUUUUAAAACCUUUGGUGGUACUUGUAGGAACAUUAUGGAGUGAAAAUAAGUUAACAAUUAAUAUAUUUUUGAACGUUUGAUGGUAUUUUGAGAAUCAUGAGAGAAAUGGUAUAUUAGGGUAUCUCUGUAUUUAUGUAGUUAGAACGCGCCACCCUUUAGCGGGGAAUUAAAUGCAUCGCUAACAUUAAAAAAUAGAGCAUAUAGUUUGAUGGGAAUUUCACUGAAAACAUGGCCAGCCAAGUCUAAAGCUGAAUAUUACACUGAACAGAGAGCCCAAUCAUUGCCUAACACAAAAGCACUAAUGCUUGUUGAGUUAUUUGUAAUAUAGGAGCAGAAUCCCUUCGAAAGAGAAAUUCCAAAAUAUUAAAAAGAUCCAACAGUAAGACAUCCAUACACCUUACAGUUUAUACAUGGAGACAAGCUACAUACCAAUCGCUAAAAAAGGUGAAUAUAGAGUCAUGCACAUCAGGCCCUCAUGGCAUAGAUGCAUUUCUUCCACUAAAAGGACAUGCCUUAAGGGGAUUAGUGUAGGUGUGAAGAUCUGGACAUAUAAAUGGCAGGAAUGACUUCAUCUUCCUGCCCCUUCUGUGGAAACAAAAGCCCGACUUCAAUUGGGAUCCGUUUGACAUGUUGCUCCCUCUUCAUAAAAUGGAGCUGAUCGUUAUCUAAAAGCAAGCUAGGUAGAUUUGGCAUGGCCAGCAGUAGUACUUGCUACUUUGCCAGUUGUGAUGCAUCAUAUGAGAAGGCAAGGAAGGUUGCGUGCUGCCAUGGCCGGACCCUUUGGGGUGCCAAAUGGUGUUCAAAUUUAUAGUAGGUUCCAUUUUUGGUGGGAAUCCAAGAAAAAGAAGGCAAUGGAGUAAGAUGACAACCCAUUCCCAGACUGCCACUCAAAAUCAAAAUGAAGAGGGUAAAUAAAUGUACUUACUAAGAACACACGGAUAACAUACAGCUGGCUACAGAAACAGCCAAACUUUGUAAGUCCAUGGAAAUUGAGGAAAUUGUGAAAACUAUUUCUGUGAGUAGAAGGAAACGUAGUCCAGUUACCUUUCAUGGUAAUGCUUCUCUUGAGACGAUUCUUAGGAUCCCUGAAGAAUGUCUUCUGUUUUCCUGAAGCGGGAUUCCUUGCUAGAGCAGUACCUUUUGUUCUCUUGAGUUAAGGCAGAGUGGGAAAUACAUCACUAUCAGCUCUAGUUCAAUUGCUUGUAUUUUACAAAAACAUACAAUUGAAACAAUUAUCAGGAAAAGUUAUUACCUUAAUCGCAGCAACUCUUUGAGCAUGCAAUUUGGCGUCUUGGUGUAUAAUCUUCAUGUGUAAACAAUUUGUUUUAGCAUCUAGACUCUAUAAUUAAAAUUAAUAAGUUCUUUAAAACCCAAAGGCAACUAUAUAGACCAAUACAAUUAAACAAAGCCAGCGGGUAGGUUUCAAAUAUUAAGUAGCAGGGCUCCAUAGUUAACUCUCCAUCAUGCAGGCAUUUAGUGUAGUAGAUACAAGACAUACGUGUGACAGAUUGCAUAUGAACAACAUUUAUUAGUAGGAAAAUUGUACUACCGUAUAUUGCACUAACACUAACUAUAUGAAGAAGCCAAUAGCAUGUAAUUUCAGCUUGCAAGAAAGCGCCACUUACUCUUAUAGAUCGGCUAAUCUACAUGGCAACUUCUGGGGAUGGUGAUGGAUAAGUACAGUUGGAUCGUUUUUAGAUGUUAAUCUAUUAUUAUAAAAAUCAUCUUCCUUUACUUUCAAGGGAGAACUGUAGAGGGGAAAGAACAACAUUUUUUAAUCUAAUGAUCCAUCACUUAUUCACAACUAUUGCAAUAACCAAGUAUGUUGGAUGCAAGGACGAGGUGAGAGUGCAGGCAACAUGUAUGUCACAUCAUGCGAACAGGUGGGGAUCAUGUUAAGUCAAUGCAGAAGGAUGCGUUGUGUGUCCGCGCACCGUCAACACCGCCGAGUAAACAGUAAACUAAACCUGGGGACCAGUGCUCUUGACCUUCCCAGCUACUUCUGGCAUAGGGGGAAUAUUUGAGGAUUUAUAGUGCUGAGAUUAGGGUUAGGAGNNNNNNNNNNNNNNNNNNNNNNNNNNNNNNNNNNNNNNNNNNNNNNNNNNNNNNNNNNNNNNNNNNNNNNNNNNNNNNNNNNNNNNNNNNNNNNNNNNNNNNNNNNNNNNNNNNNNNNNNNNNNNNNNNNNNNNNNNNNNNNNNNNNNNNNNNNNNNNNNNNNNNNNNNNNNNNNNNNNNNNNNNNNNNNNNNNNNNNNNNNNNNNNNNNNNNNNNNNNNNNNNNNNNNNNCUCCUCCCGAAGCUUCCUAGGUUUCUUCUGGUCCAAGAAAAAUCAUCGUAAAGUUUUAUUCGUUUGGACUCCGUUUGAUAUUCCUUUUCUGUAAAACUCAAAAACAAGAGAAAAAAACAGAAACUGACACUGGGCUCUGGGUUAAUAAGUUGGUCCCAAAAAUAAAUAAAAUAACAUAUUAAUGCAUAUAAAUCAUCCAAAAUAGAUAAUAUAAUAGCAUUGAACAACCAAAAAUUAUAGAUACGUUGGAGACGUAUCAGGAUCAUGUUAAGUCGAUGCGAAAGGAUGCAUUGUGUGUUCGCACACUGGAUGCUUGCAUUUAUAUGGCUCUAUCAGCAUCGCCGAAUAAACUAAAUCUGGGGACCGGUGCUCUUGACCUUCCCAACUACUUCGACUGGAAAUCAGAUCCUCCAUGCCAAAUAAGAAAGACCGUUCAGGUCGUGCUGAUAGAGAGGAAAGAGACCACUCACCUCCGACAAUGGCACGUGUGGCUCGCCUGAAGGUCCUUGGGUUGAAUCCACGGUGUUGGGCUAGCGUAGCACCCAUUGGCGGCAAUCAUGGGGCUCCAAGAUGGCGUCACCGUGUAGAUGUCUGGUGUUGUUGGCCAUAGACGGUUUUGUCAAAGGCGACGCAUUAUGGAAAGAUGGAGAGAUAAAAGAGGGGAGGAGAAGAACCUGGAAGACAAUAGAUAUUUAUUGGUGAAGGGGAGAUGAACGGAAUCAUCGGGCGAAGAGGUGAUGGCUCGUGUCCGCAUUAGUAUUUUCCCCGAAGAGGAAGGGAUGAUGCAACACAGCUACGGUAGGUAUUUCCCUCAGUGAUGAGACCAAGGUUAUCGAACCAGUAGGAGAACCACGCAACACUAUGUAAAUGGUACCUGCACACAAAGAACAAAUACUUGCAACCCGACGCGUAAGAGGGUUGUCAAUCCCUCCCGGGUAAAAGAUAGAUUGGUUUCUAGUAGAUUGGAUAAAUAGAUCUCGCGGAAACGCAAAAUAAAAUAAAUAACAAAAAAUUGCAUCAAGGUAUUUUUGGGUUUUUAGAAUAAUAGAUAUCUAUACCUAUUAAUAAAAGAAAUAGGUAUUCUUCGUCCGUCAUGCUAUUUUGUAGAAAACCCCCUGAUGUUUCUGACAUUAAACCAGCAGUACAUAUCAAGUGCUUUUUAAAAUACUCAUAAUUUUAAACCAUAACUCCAAAUUUAACAUAUUAUAUAUGGAAUUUAAUUAGAAAAUUAUUUAGAAUCUAAAUAUGAUGUUAUUUUACCUGUUAACAAUUUUUAAAAUAAACUAUCUAGGCUGCAAUGUUAAUCAACAAUGCAUUAUCCGUCUUUUUUUCAUACCGGUAUUGAUUUAGAUUGGGGAUGAAAACCUCAGCAAAAUCAGGAUUGGACAUCAGAUUGAAGAUAAAUUUGUUAGAGACACCGAAUAAAUAAGGACAUGCAUGACAAGAAAUAAAAAGAUCCAAUAAAGAUGGGAUGUCCGCUAUAAAAAUAAAUAAAAGAGAAAAUGCAGAGGAGAUCCGAUAAAGAUGAGAUGUUGCGCUAUUCUCCUAUAUAUAAGAAGAGUAAAAGGAGGACAUGCAUGAAAAAAGGUAAAAAGGAGGCAUGCAUGAAAAAAAUACAAGUUUUAUAAGAAAUAAAUAGUGAUGAAACAGGGACCAAUACCUAUGACAUGUAUGGCAAGAAAUAGUGAUGAAAUAGGGGCACAAGUACCUGAGUCAACAGGAGACCAUAAAAAAUGUUGUUUUCCAGACCAAAAAAAACCUAUUUUAUGAUUAAAAAAUCUUGUACCUUUUUAACAACCUUUUUAACUCUUCAUGUAUUUAAGAAAUAGCUACAAAUUCUCGGAUUAUAAAACAUUUUUUGUAAAUUAAGAGUGUGUGGUACUUUUUUCCCGUUGCAACGCACGGGCCUUUUUGCUAGUGAAAAUAAAAGAGGCAAAUAAUAGAUCGGAAAGCAAAUAUGAUAAAGAAUAGACCCAGUGGCCGUAGAUUUCACUAGUGGCUUCUCUCCAGAAAAAUUGCAUACAGUGGGUAAACAAAUUACUGUUGGGUAAUUGAUAGAACUUCAAAUAAUUAUGACGAUAUCCGGGCAAUGAUCAUUAUAUAGGCAUCAUGUCCUAGAUUAGUAGACCUACUCCUUCCUGCAUCUACUACUAUUACUCCACACAUCGACUGCUAUCCAGCAUGCAUCUAGUGUAUUAAGUUCAUGGAAAAAUGGAGUAAUGCAAUAAGAAUGAUGACAUGAUGUAAACAAGAUCUAUUCAUGUAGGAAUAGACCCCAUCUUGUUAUCCUUAAUGCAACGAUCAAUAUGUGUCUUGCUGCCCCUUCUGUCACUGGGAAAGAACACCGCACGACCGAUCCCAUCACAAAGCACCUCUUCCCAUGGCAAGAAAAAUCGAUCUAGUCAACCUAACUAAACAAAAGAUUCGAAGAAGAAUACGAGGCUAUAAGUAAUCAUGUGUCUAAGAGAUCAAAACUCAAAUAACUUUCAUGUAUAAAAUAGAUCUGAUCAUAAACUCAAAGUUCAUCGGAUCCCAACAAACACACCGCAAAAAGUGUUACAUCAAAUAGAUCUCCAAGAGACCAUUGUAUUGAGAAUCAAAAGAGAGAGAGGAAGCCAUCUAGCUACUGCCUACGGACCCAUAGUUCUACAAUGAACUACUCACGCAUCAUCGGAGAGGCACCAAUGAGGAUGAUGAACCCCUCUGUGAUGGUGUCUAGAUUGGAUCUCAUGGUUCCGGAACUUGCGGCAGCUCGAAUUGUGUUUCGUCGACUCCCCUAGGGUUUUUGGAUUUUCGGGGUAUUUAUAGAGCAAAAAGGUUGUGCGGGAGGGCACCGAGGUGGGCACAACCCACCAGGGCACGCCUGGGCCCCCAGGCGUGCCCAGGUGGGUUGUGUCCCCUGGGGACACCCAUCUGGUACUUCUUUGGCCCAAGUUGUUCCUUCUGGUCUAGAAAAAUUCUCCAAAAAGUUUCGUUGCGUUUGGACUCCGUUUGGUAUUGAUUUUCUGCGAAGUAAAUAACAAGCAAAAAAUAACAACUGGCACUGGGCAAAUAGGUUAAUAAAAUGAUAUAAAGUUGCUAUAAAAUGAUUGUAAAAUAUCCAAGAAUGAUAAUAUAACAGCAUGGAACAAGCAAAAAUUAUAGAUAUGUUGGAGACGUAUCAAGAGGCAAUAAGAGGAAGGCGCAGCAAUCAGUUCGACGGUAGUAAAAAAUUACACGAUUCCUUUCGUUGAAAAGGGAAAAAGGAAGCAUUGGUGAUGUGGCAGAUUUUCUAACCUGGAUGGCAGCAUGUUGAUUGCUGAUGUGGAUAGGCUACAUGUCAAGAGAAAUACGGUACUGGGGAUGAACUAUUUAGGUAUUAUAUAUGCGCAACAUCACAUCUAAACUCUUUAUGAAAUUACAAAACACGAUGGUUUUUAAAAUGGAUAUAUUUUGGAACCCAAUUUUUUAAAAUUUAUGAAUAAAUUUUUGAAAACUUGAACAAUUUCUUGAGUCUAUGAACAAUUUUUUGAACACGAACUUUUUUUCAAAAUUUCAAAACGCAAUUAUUUUUUUAAUGUAACCUUUUUCAAAAUUCAAAAACAUGAUUGUUUGUAAAGUGAAUAUGUUUUUAAAAUUCUAGACUAAAUUUGCAAGUUGAAUAUGUUUUGAGAAACACUCGAAAUUGUGGACGUUUUCUAAAACGUCAAAGAACUUUGAAAAACAUCAAACAUUUUUCAAAGCACGGAUUCUGGGAAAAAAACAAAUUCCGAACAUCUUUUAGAAAUUUUGAAUUUAUGAAAAAAGAAAAAGAAGCAGAAAAUGAAAAAAGAAAGAAAGCAAGGAAAAGCAGUGAAGAAAUAAAACAGAAAAAGGGAAAAAACCUGAAAAUAGUGGUAAAGACUGAUCCUAGCUACUUGGGCUGGUCCAUCUAUGGUUUACUCGCUGCUCAUUUCGGAGAUUUCUUUUAGGGGUAAAACCAAGUUUUAUACAUCAAACACCAUAGAGUGUGGGAUAGAGUUUGGGUCAUGGCAUUUUCCAAAGCAAACAUUGCGUCCCAGACCUAACGAAAGAGAAAACCUGCCUAGAUUAUGUGCUUCGACAUUUACAGGAUGAUCUUUAGAUAAAAAAAUACAAUGAAAUAAAUACGGUUGCAACUUGAUCUCGUUGAUAAUGGCUCGUUUCCACAUAGUUUGCUCACAUUUUUGAGAGAAAAUUUAGCCUUGAUGGGCUGGGAAAUUGGGCCAGCCAUCCUCGAGUGUGACUGGCUUGUCUUUGUCUAGUAUAAAUCCCAUCACGUUGCCCAAGAGCCCACCCUUAUCUAUUUUUCUACAGGACCCAUAUAUGUUUGGUUCCUUCAGCACGAUGGGCCGCCUCCCAGCCUCCCUCGCCCGCUCGACAGCUCCCCCACCAAUAGAGUUAGGCCCUCGACCCUCCCCCACCCCAAGGUUGCGAGCAUGUCCCUUCCCGACAUCUCUUCCACACGGCCUCGUCCCACCCCAUGUUCUCCCCCAAGUGCUUUGUCGAGUGUCAUGGAAAAAUAUUCUUGGCAAGAUAGUGGAACUCACGCAAAAUGUGCUUUAUCGAGUGCUACACUCGGCAAAAGGGGGUAUGCAGGGAAGCAAAAUCAUGCUUUUUUCCUUCUCGGGAAGCUGCGCUUCCCGUGGAAGGCUUCAUCAAAAACCAGAAAAAAAGAUUUUUUUUUUCAUCAAAACCUAGGGAAAAUAAAAGAAAAAAAACACGUGUAAAAAAUAAAAUCUUAAGGGUGUACCUGCACACGACAUGUGGCCGCAGUUGGGCACAUCACUUGAUGCGCUCUCAGGGCCUCAAAGUAACCUCUGCAGGAACCCUCGACAAGAAACCCAUCAGACAGUUGGAGUCUCCCUUGCGUCAAAUAGGAGUGUGGCCACAAGGGGAGCGCGUCCUGGUCGGCCGGCCCAGUAGCCUGUAGCACUCUACCGCAAAUUUGUCAAAAUCUAAAACAUGACGUUUGAGCAAAGCUCGCAUGGCUAGCCAGUCAAGCUGAUGAAACUUUGCCAACUACUAUGUCGCGUUGAUCAGUAAAAAUUAUGUGCAACAUCACAUAUGAAAAAAAAUUGGAAUUUCAAAACACGGUUGUUUUUAAAAUGAACUAGUAAAGUGGCCCGCUCGAUGUGCGGGCUAGAUUUUUAAGUUUUUUUUAAUAAUAUCAUAUUGUUUGAUUUGGCUAAAGAAAAAUUGGAACCCAAUAUGACGACUUUAUUGUGCGGGCUCAAUCUUUGAAUUGUCUAUUAUGUUUUAUGAUUGAAUUUCUUAUCUGUAGUAAGUCAAUACAUAAUUAUGACGACUUUAUUGUGCGGGCUCAAUCAAUAUUAUUAUUUACUGUUAUUCUUCUUAUUUUUAUUGUUAAAAAAACAAUGUUAAAGUCAACCCAUUUGAAAAAAACUAAUUUAAUGUAAGUAUAGUAUCUAAAGUCCUAGUAUAGUAAUUUCAUUUCAAUUUAAUUUUAUUGUAUUCUUCCAUUUUGAAAAUGUAUUUUUAUUAUGAAUCUAGCACUUUAGUUAAAAUACAAAUAAAACUACUACAUUACUGAUCCCAAAAUUAAACAAAAAUGUGUACAUAAACUUGUCUUUAUCAUCGAUGAAUUACAACCAGAUCAUAUGUUUAAAUAAUGGAUAUUUAUAUUAUUAAUCAACCAAGCAUAGUUCUUUUGAUCUCGUAGAUUGUGAUUUUCCAAUAGUGUCUUGUCUUUUUGUUUAUGUGCAAAUAAUAGUUCACCUAUCAUAUUUUACGAGAAUGGGAAACAAAUAUAAGAAAUAGAACUGAAAGAAUUAUAUGGACGUCUAUUCUUGGAAAAUUGUUUAUGGUGUCACCAUCUCGUUCACGUGUGAGUAUGCAAUCUAAUUUCUAACAUGGCAUUCUUUCAUGCGUGAAGAAAUUUCAAGUUAUCACAACGCGACAUGAGUUCGAUAGAAUAUUAACUCAUUCGGAAAAAAAGAUAUGUACAUACAAAACUAAUGAAGUAACUUCAGUAAAAAUUAAUAUGUUACCCAAGAUUUUGAGGGACUGUGAUUUUGAAGGGGUAUUACAUUUUUGUAAUGUUAACUUGACACAUUGGUGAGAAACACAAUUCGAAUAGAAUACACUAAAGCUGAGAAAACAGAACUUUGUUGAACAAUAAUUAACCGGCUAAGAACUUACAAUGUAUCAUGCCUUUGCUGUUAACAACUAUAUGCAGCAGUAUUUUUUUUAUAUUUAUAAUUAUCACUCAAACUAACUUUUUAGAAAGCAUACUAAUUAGUUAGAUAUUCAGGGAUGCAUUGAUAACAGUAAUCGCUAUCGUCUAGCCUUGCCUCCUGUCUGAUGCACUACAAGCAAAGGAUUCAAAACUACGUUUUCCUGUAAUGUAAAACAAUAAUACUUCAUGGAGAUCAUGUUUGCAUGUGCAUAUGGAAUUUAUCAAUAGUAGGUAGAAAAGUCCUAGCUAGCUUAGCUUAGCUUAGGAUAACGCCCUGGCAUCUAAACUGCUUCAUAUAUGCAAUCCAAUUGUAUGGGUCAAAUAUACAAAACCUGAAGCUCAUGGUCUAGAUGUUUCAUUGAUAAUAUCAUUUCCACCAGACUGGCGACCGAUUAUACAGUAGUCUACCUGUAUUGUUUAACACUGAGAUACCGCAUCAGCCAAAUCAUAGCACCUGAGGUGCCUCUUCUAGUGGACGGUGAGAGCAUAUCUGUAAUAAUCAUCCUUUGUAUAACAUUAUUUAUACCUCCAAAUGUUGCACCACACAUGUUCAUCUUUAGAGUCAAGCCCUAUUGCAGCGCAGGUUGUGCUUGGCCAGCACCUUCGUGAUGAACUUGCCAGUGACCACAGUGCAAGCAACUACCAGUACCCAGGAAGCCUCGACGAAGCCAAUGACGUACUGCUCUAUUUCGCGCCGGUCCCAUGUGGCCCACUUGUUUCCCUGAGCAUGUCGGUAUCGACAAAGGAACGAUAGUCGCUAGAUUAAAGGGAAGUGAGAUGGAAAGACACACUCGAGGAGGAAGAUGUUUAGGACUAUGUAUUUGCAUACUCUUUUGGAUCAAGGACGUGGGAUGUAAGUACGGUGUUUGCCUUUUUUUCUUUCUCUUUUUAGCUUUGAAGGGAUGUGUACAUGUUUUUUUUUAUGUCUACAUGCUUGAUUUUUUUUCCUCUGGAGGGAUAUGUACUUGUUUGUAUUUUUAAAAGGUUGGGGGAUCAUUCAUUUUGUACGCACUUGUUUUUUUUUCAAAUGUAUGUACGUGCCUGAUGGAUAUGUGUGGGGACGUUCUUUUUUAUAUAUGUGGGAUAUGUACGUGCNNNNNNNNNNNNNNNNNNNNNNNNNNNNNNNNNNNNNNNNNNNNNNNNNNNNNNNNNNNNNNNNNNNNNNNNNNNNNNNNNNNNNNNNNNNNNNNNNNNNNNNNNNNNNNNNNNNNNNNNNNNNNNNNNNNNNNNNNNNNNNNNNNNNNNNNNNNNNNNNNNNNNNNNNNNNNNNNNNNNNNNNNNNNNNNNNNNNNNNNNNNNNNNNNNNNNNNNNNNNNNNNNNNNNNNNNNNNNNNNNNNNNGUGCCUGAUGGAUAUGUGUGGGGACGUUCUUUUUUUUUUCCAUGAUGGAUGAACGAUGUGGGAUGUGUAUUUUUUUAUAUCUGGGGGGUACACUCUUUUUUAGUGUCCACCGGGUUAUGAAGAUCUAAGGCCUAUGAUUUAUUAGUACAGAGAAGUUCUAUUAAAUCAACCAUCGGAUACUUCUGAUUUUUAUAGAAUUUUUGAUCAUAUUUCUCUUUGUUAGUUAACCUGCUAUUUACUUUUAAUAUAUAGUAGAUACUAUAUAUGCAGUACGUGACCAUGUAUGAGUUUGUGAGGGAUUCUCUAUAUACACAUAUGUGCGUUUGUUUUUUCCUUAUGGAACAGAUGUGCAUGCACGUGCUUUCCAAUUAACAUGGUAGGCUUGCCAAAAAAAAUUAACGUGAUUCCUCACGCAACAUCUUUUUUUAUAGAAGAGCUCUGACAACCGAAUAAUCCAGGCUUUUUUUCUAGAUUGGAAAAUAUCUACGUGGGACAUGUGCCAUGUAAAUCCUUAGAGGCCCAUCAUAUUAUAUAUGUUACGUAAAUUGAACGGUCACGUAAUCUUAAUUUUAAGAGAUUUACCGGAUCGAGGGUUAUUAUUUUCUAAUUAAUGUGGAAUUUUAUAACCUAUUUCUCUCCCUUUUGGUUCACCGUAUAUUACUUUUAGUAUAUAAAAUAGAUGGUUUUUGGAACAUGGACUUUUUCCAAAUUUAUGAAUAAAAUUUGAAAACUAGAGCAAUUUUUGACUAUAUCAAGGUUUUUUUUUAACACAAACUUUUUUUGAAAUUUUAAAACACGAUUAUUAUUUUAAUACAACCUUUCUUAGAUUUCAAAACACGUUUUUAAUGAAUAUUUUCUUAAACCCUACCAAAAGUUGAAAAUUUGAACAUUUUCAAAAACACUCCGAAGUGUGGACAUUUUCUAAAAAACGUGAAAGGAUUUAGGAAAACUUCAAACUUUUUCAAAGCACGAAUAAUUUUUGGGAAAAAUGAAACAAAAUCAAAUUCCGAACAGUUUUUGAACAUUUUUUUAGAAAUGUUGAAUUUAUGAAAAAAAAGGAUAAAUUAUGAAAGAAACGAAAAUUGGUGAAGAAGAAAACAAGAGAAGGAAAAAAACUAAAAAAUAGUGUAAGAAAAAAACACCAAUACUAGCUACUUGGGAUGGUACAUAUGCGGUUUGCUCACUGCACAUUUCCUAAAUUUUUUUAGGGGUAAAAGCAAGUUUUAAUCAUCAAACACCAUAGAGUGUGGGAUAGAGUUGGGGUCGUGGAAUUGGUUAAACCCAACGCGGCGUCCCAGACCUAACGAAAGAGAAAGACUGGCUAGACUAUGUGCUUCGACAUUGAUAGCAUGACCUUUACAAGAAAAAUUACUAUCAAAUAAAGAUGGUUGCAACUUAAUCUCGUUGAUAAUGGCUCGUUUCCCACAUAGUUUGCUCACAGUUUUUGAGAGAAAAUUUAGCCUUGAUGGGCUGGGAAAUCGGGCCAACCAAUCUCAAGUGCGACCGACUCAUCUUUGUCCACUAGAAAGCCUGCCACGUCGCCCAAGAGCCAACCCUUAUCUUUUUUUUACAGGACCCGUAUAUGUUUUAUUCCUCCAGCAAGACCGGUCGCCGCCAAGCCUCUCUCGCCCGCUCGACAGCUCCCCCCGCUGCCGGGGCUAAGCCCUGGAUCCCCCCACCCCCAGGUUGCGAGCUUGUCCCAUCCCUCCCUCUCUUCUGCGUAGCCUCGCCCCACCUCGUCUUCUCCCCCACCGGUGCUUUGCCUAGUUUCUUGGAAAAAAACUCUCGAUAAAAUAUUGGAACUCUGAUAAAAUGUGCUUUCCUGAUUGCUACACUCGGCAAAAGGGGGUAUGCACUGCACUGUUUUGGUUGUCCAUAUUGCAUACGACCUCGGAUGAAGAUGAUCCCAAAAUCAAAGUUUAUCAUUUUGACAAGAUGAUUAAUUUUCAUGUUCAGAACUUUUCCAUUUUAAGCCAUGUUAUUUACACUUUGGGCAAUGCCAAAAUAUGGUCUCAAAUGAAUAUGGCGGUGGUCAUAUUUAUAGCAUAGUUUCUGACAAUGGGCCUAAAGUUGGCAUUUUGUUGCAUCUCGCCAUUACAAACAAUGAUGCCAAAUAGAGUUUCCAACAUUUUGUACAAAAACUAAUUUUCCCAUUUGCUAAGUGUAAAAAAUGGAUAUUUUAUGAAGCGGGUAAAAAAACAUAGUGCAAAAUGGCACCACCCCAAUUUACAUAAAAAGUAGACCACAUGUUUUAGAAAAUUCCCAGGUUUUGUGGAUCUUCUAGAUUUCUAGCUACUUUCCACAGUUAAAUUCAAAUUUGAACUUUAAGUCUGUGAUAGCUUUGUCCUAAAAAUUAGCAAAAAUGUAAUCUAUUUUUUUAGGUAUGCAAGUAGUCAUUUUAUGAAAUCACCACUUAAGUUUGAGAGAUUCAGGCCCUUGCCAUGACUAUCCAUGCCGGGCAUUUUGACCCCGUUUUGGAAAAAUGAAACAAAAAGGAUACAAGUUCAAAAAAAAUGCAAUCCAUUCGUAUGGACUCCUUUUAUGUGUACUAGCUAGGAUGAAAAUACCAAACUUCAAUAUGAAAACUUUGAAAGAAAAAUAUCCAUCACAAAACGGGCUAUCAUGUAUGAACCUUCACGGCUUUAAAGUCAAACGACCAAGGUGACGACAAUAUCCAUUCCAUAGUUUAUUAUAUUAUGCCCAAAUUAGACAUAUAGGUGAAUCAUGCCAUUGCAAAUAAUGUUGUAAAAUAGAGUUUCCAACUUUUUGUACAAAAAAUCAUUUACUAUUUUCUAAGUAUCAAAAAAAUGGGUGUUUCUUGUGAAGUGGGUUCAAAAAAUAGAGUGGAAAAUGGCACCACUCCAAUUUUCACAAAAAGUAGACCAUAUUAGAUGGACAAUUCCCAAGUUUUGUAGAUGUCUAGAUAAAAACUAACAAUUGGUGUAUUUUUUAAUAUUUAAUGAAAAUAAAAAACGGGCGAGAAUAUGACCAGGGGUGUAAACUGUGGAGGGGGCGCCGCACACGGCUAACAAUUGAUGUUGUGUGUUCUAGGCGCCCCCUUCCCCACAUAUAUAUAGGUGGGAGGGGAGGGGAGGCAGCCAGGGGGCACCCCAAGUAGGAUCUGAAUCCUACUUGGGGUUUCCCCAANNNNNNNNNNNNNNNNNNNNNNNNNNNNNNNNNNNNNNNNNNNNNNNNNNNNNNNNNNNNNNNNNNNNNNNNNNNNNNNNNNNNNNNNNNNNNNNNNNNNNNNNNNNNNNNNNNNNNNNNNNNNNNNNNNNNNNNNNNNNNNNNNNNNNNNNNNNNNNNNNNNNNNNNNNNNNNNNNNNNNNNNNNNNNNNNNNNNNNNNNNNNNNNNNNNNNNNNNNNNNNNNNNNNNNNNNNNNNNNNNNNNNNNNNNNNNNNNNNNNNNNNNNNNNNNNNNNNNNNNNNNNNNNNNNNNNNNNNNNNNNNNNNNNNNNNNNNNNNNNNNNNNNNNNNNNNNNNNNNNNNNNNNNNNNNNNNNNNNNNNNNNNNNNNNNNNNNNNNNNNNNNNNNNNNNNNNNNNNNNNNNNNNNNNNNNNNNNNNNNNNNNNNNNNNNNNNNNNNNNNNNNNNNNNNNNNNNNNNNNNNNNNNNNNNNNNNNNNNNNNCCCCCGGUACUCCUAUAAAUACCCGAUACAUUCGGGAACACUUCCGGUGUCCGAAUACUAUCAUCCUAUAUAUCAAUCUUUACCUGUCGACCAUUUCGAGAUUCCUCGGCAUGUCCAUGAUCUUAUUCGGGACUCCGAACAACAUUCGGUCACCAUAUCACAUAACUCAUAUAAUACAAUAUCAUUAUCGAACGUUAAGCAUGCGGACCCUACGGGUUCGAGAACUAUGUAGACAUGAUCGAGACACCUCUCCGGUCAAUAACCAAUAGCGGAACCUGGAUGCUCAUAUUUGAUCCUACAUAUUCUACGAAUAUCUUUAUCGGUCGAACCGUUAUGACAACAUACAUUAUUCCCUUUGUCUAUCGGUAUGUUACUUGCCCGAGAUUCGAUCGUCGGUAUCUGCAUACCUAGUUCAAUAUCAUUACUGGCAAGUCUCUUUACUCGUUUUGUAAUACAUCACCUCACUAACGGAUGGGUCUUGUCCAUCACAUCAUUCUUCUAAUGAUGUGAUCCCGUUAUCAAAUGACACCUCAUGUCCAUGGUUAGGAAACCUUAACUAUCUUUGAUCAACGAGCUAGUCAAGUAGAGGCUCACUAGGGACAUAGUGUUUGUCUAUGUAUUCACACACGUAUUGAGGUUUCCGAUCAAUACAAUUCUAGCAUGGAUAAUAAACAUUUAUCAUGAAUAAGGAAACAUAAAAUAAGAACUUUAUUAUUGCCUCUAGGGCAUAUUUCCUUCAAAUCAGUAUAUGUGUGCAUGCUUGGUUGUUAGUGAAAUGUUUUAUGUAUAUGUGUACAUGCUUGGUUGGGCCAACUUUGUGUAUUACAUUUUGUGAAAUACAAACUUGAUAUAUGCCACAUUUGUGUUAACGACCAAUAAGUAUAUACGUAACUAUAUUUUGCCUUCUUUUUCCUCCUCCACAAGAAAAGGUCCCAUGCUUUUCUCCUCCUCCAAUUGGCGCCGUAGCUAGUCCGCCCCAUCUUUGAUGGCCUUUGGGCCCUUUAGUACUGUACCGAACCAGCAGCCUUCGCGCCAAGCGACGACCGCCCUUGUCCCUUUCCUUUUUCCAUUCAGCCUACUUCUUAGCUUUGUUCUGUCAGUCUAAGGCAAAGCUUAAGUGGUUUGCCUACCUUACCCACUUGAUGAAAGGGAACGGACUUCAUUUCCUUGGCGGCUUUAUGGAUGGAUUCAGUCAGAAAAAACUCCUUCCUUUUGAAAAAAGUGACGCCACGAAGGUGAGUAGGACCUCAGGCCCUCGCUGGCGGGAGGGAACCUGUUCUCAUUCUUUUUUGGUUCAAUGUCUUGCUGGAGCGCUGUGUUGCGGCUAUGAUGUCUCUCAGUAGGAAUAAUGUUUCACAUGUUCUAUCCCUGUCUCGAUGGUGCCUCUAGCAUCAUCAUAGGGCAUGUGGAGGUGUGUCUCUAUCGGAUUUCGCAGGAUUCGGUCGGCAUUAGUCUUCGGUGGAUCUGUUUGGACACGGUCUAUGUUCAUCUUUGUGGUGUUUAUACUAUUGAUCCUUCCGAUCUAUGACUUUCUUCAUCGACGAUGGUUGCUGCUUCGGUGCGCUGGUCCUAUGGGUCCUUAGCACGUCAACUUCCUGACUAUUGACUACAACAAGGUUUGCCCGGCUCCAGCGAUCGGGGGGGGGGGUGAUGGCGAUGCACAGCUUUCUUUAGUGCUUGUAGUCAUCACUAGGUGGUCCAUGGACCUGGUUGUAAUUUUUUGUAUCUCUGGUGUUCUUUGUACUGCCAUGAUUGAAGAUGAAUAGAUUGGAAGUUUCUCACGCAAAAAUAACUAUAUAAAUAACUAUUUUAGCAAAAUUCGCAAAAAAAACUAUUUUAGCAAGUAAUAAAUUUUGACACCAAUUAUAUGGUAGUAAUUAAUAUUUACCCUAAUAAUAUCCGCAUUGGAUUCAGGUUUUAUACUAUGUAUACAAACGAGAGUAUGUUUGGAUAAUUGUGUGAACACAAGGAUAUAUCUUAGCAAAACUAUUUUUAGCAACAAGUAAAUGAAUUAAUAUAUGCUAGCUAUACUCUGCUGGUGAAAACAUGGUGUAUUAGUUGUACAAAGCAUGCAACACGGUUUCACUCCCCUUUAUAUUCCUGGGCGGAACACAAUUUCAGAUCCAAGUUUUAUGUUUGUCUACACAGUCCCAUCUUCUUCCCAUAUCAGCAGGAAAAUUCACUCCAAUCAUCUCGCCAUUCUACACUUGGGUAAUCAGGUUUGCUUCAAUCUACCAUCCUUGAAUAUAUGCCCCACAUCUUGUUUCUGCGUCCUAAUCUUAUUAAGCUUGUAAUUAGUAGUUAGUGCAAGAUCAAAAAGGAGCUAUGGACAAAACACCAUCCGCACCUGCUGAUAAAAUCACCAUAGGACAAGCGGUGCCUAAUCAUGAAAUAGCAGGAGAUUCAAGUGACAGUGAGAGAACAAUCAGUGAGGGUUAUGUGGGGAUCAUGUAUGGUGGUAGCCAAACCCACGAUGGCAACCUAGAAGGAGAAUCUGAUAUGGUAUUGCUAGCAACAGAUUCAAGUGACAGCGAGAGAACAACCAGUGAGGGUUAUGUGGGGAUCCUGUAUGGUGGUAGCCAAAUCCAGGAUGGAGACCUGGAGGGAGAAUCGGCUAUGGUAUUGCCUGCUGUAGGAGAGAAUACCACGGCGAGAUCUAACAGUCAUGGUUAUACGCGUAGCUUGGAAAUUGAUUCUACCUCUCGUAGUGAGAGGCAUGCUGCCAGGUCAGAUUCUGUUCUAGUGGCACAACGCCGAGACUGCAUACAAAUUUACCCUGAGUGGCUGGAGAAAAUUGAUUCAGGCAAAAAGAUGUGGACAGCUCUCAACCAAUUUCGAGCAAAUGGGAAGCACGAAGAGGUUAGUAUAUACACAUGUUCUGGUGUGCUCUCUCAUCAAAUAAUUUUCAUUGUGGGUUAAUCAUCUCAUAACAUAAGGAGUGUUUGCUUGAUGGGCAUUCAGACCAAAUGAUGAACGAAUUAGAUCCUAGGUUCUCCAAAAGAUGACAUUGUGUUUUGCUUCCGUUACCUCAUAGAUUUUCAGCCUUUGCGUCAAAAUGAUUUUAUGCAUUUGUUUUCGCACUAACUUGUAUUUUUUAAGCACAACCAUCCAUAUAUGUAAAAAAACUCAUGGCCACGUGUGAUUGAUAGAAAUCAGUUAACAUCUCAAUUUCCUCAUGUGCUAUUGUAUGACUACGGAGGUUUUUCUAACAUGAUCCUUCUUACCUCCCCUUUUCACAUGAGACGUAAGAGUAUAAAGUAAAUCUGAGCCAUUGACUGCAUUAAGUAGUAAACUUGACUAAAUCUUACCUUCUUAACUCCCAUGUGAAAAGAUGGGGUAAGAGGAAGCAUGUUAAAAUGCCUCAUGAAUGUGGUGCUGCCGCCAGUGGCAGAGCUUGAGCAUAAUCCAAGAGGGCCAUUACUUGAAGGGGGGGAAAUUAGAAGGGAAUGAGGGGAAAAUAUCUAGUUUAAACACUAGUUAGGCUUAAAAUAUAGUAUAUUCAUUGAUGGGUGCAAAAAUUAAGGGGGGCCAUGGCCCCUGUUGGUCUACAUGAAGCUCCGCCACUUGCUGCCGCACAUUCUGUAGUGUUGUUAUAGACACUGACUGACUCUUGUUUUUGCACUAUAUCCAAAUGUACUAGCAGUCAUAAGACACCAAUCUGUCAGGAUCUCGGCUUUUGGCCUUCUGCUAGAAUGCACUAAAGAUAUUGAUAAGUCUCGCCAUUCCUGGAUGUUGCGAAGGUUACCUGACUGGAACAGAUUGUUCUGGAGAAGGAUAUGGAGGCGCGGCAAACCUAAAGCAGCGACGAUGCAACAAAUGGAAUGUGAUCGAGAAUGGUAUUAUCUACAGGAGCACACCAGAGAGCAUACAAAUUAGGGUCUGCAUGGACGACCAAAACAGAUGGCAUUUUUUUAUCAACUAGCCCAUCCUUUUUUCUUUGAUCUACUAACAUUGGUUGCCAUUUCGGGCUUUUGGGCCAACCUUCGGGCGAGAAAUUGAAGCCCAAGCCUACCCCAGAUGUCGGGCUUUGGGUCAGGCCUCUGGGCCGGGUAGUCCAUGAACAGGUUUAGUUUGAUCUAUUCACUCACAUUUUGAUCCUCGUUCAUUAUAGCAUUUAACCAUAAUUCAUAUGAACAUGCACCACGAGAAUAUAAUAAAGGAAAUGCAUGGGUCAAUUUGUAGUACACAACGCCUUAUUGUGCGAUAUCACAAGAACAUUUUUCACCUUGAUUACAGUAGUAACUACUGUGCAAUCUUAUAUAUCAAAUCAUAUAUUAUAUGACAAAUUAAGUAUAUUUUUUUGCUUAUUUCAGUAUUACCUUCAUAAGGAAUAUAGUCACAAAUUUUGCUCCAAACGCAACGUUAUUGAGUUCAUACGAAAUGGAACUGUGAAAGGGAAGUCGGUUCAGAAGGUGCCUAAAUACUUGACUUUCAAACAUAUAGUAAUUAUGCGAAGAUGUAUAUGUUUUUUGUAUUAAAUUUAAAGUAUUAAUUUGACACGGAAUCCUAUUUUUGCACAGAGAUCAUCUGAUACUUCUACGAACAAUCUUCAUGGUAUGUCCAGUUGGCCCCAUGCAUUUGGAUAUUAUUUUGUCUACUAUUAUUACUAUAGAGAGAAAUCUAACUGAAACUGAAAUAUAAUAAAUAUUCAUGGAGAGAAAAAUAGACAUUAAUGUCCACAUACACAACAAAAUUAACCAGUAUUGUCCUAGUUUACAUGAAUUAAUAUUUGCAAUGACAAUUAGGUUACUCAUGACAUGAUAAAGAAAAAGUUUUUUGUGAGGUAAGAUAAGGUUUUAUAUAACUGUUCAUGGGGACCUCCUCAUGGUUGCAGAUACAUAGUAUUAUAGUGCUUCAUGAAAUAGUUGCAUAUCACCAUGUCUAAAAGAAGAAUCAUGACGGACACAACUUCAAGAAAUUCUUCUUGUCAAAUAACAUGAUUUGUAUAUACCUCAUAGAGGAUGUAACUUGUUGGUAGAAUUUAAUAUUGUGACACACUCGCCAUCUUUUGUGCCAGCAUUAUUUGGGUGAUGAUUUAAUAUCCAAAAGCAUACAUCAAGGUAGUUAUGUGCAAUGAUAUUCUUGUGAAAAUAACUUCCAUAGUGUAUACUUGCAUAUAUGUAUUGCUCUAUUGUAUUCUCACACUUAAUCCUUUUUCUUAAUUUUUUGUUUGCUUAUUUAUGUUUAUAGCAAGAUUAUAAAUUAAGCUGAGCAUAAUUUCUGCAGAUUAUAGAUGGCCCACUAAAAGACAAAGGGCGAAGGUGCAAACUUCAAGUAAUUCUUCUUGCCACAUAGGUUUUUCUAAUUGUGCGAGCAUACCACUUGUAACUGCCUUCAGUCAUCUAUGUCAGUAGUAUUUUGAGAAGAAUUUCAUUACAAAAUGCAACGACUCAAACAAUCAGAUUGUUCAUGAUGAUUCCUAAUUGUAUAACCAAUAAGCUUAACACACCUUCCUAUUUUAGAGUUGUUAUCUUAAUAAGUAUAUAUUAUCUGUUAUAAUGUUGUUGUUGGGUGAAGAACAUUUGUUGCUCAUGGUUAGAAUGCAGAAUUUUCUUAACACAACAACCUAGAGCGAAUGUGGAGGCCAAUAUAGAUUGAAACCAUUAAUUCAUAUUAAAAUGGUCAUGACUUCUUAUUUUUAUUUGACAUAAAUGUUUGUGACUUGUUUGAAUUAAUGUGUUCUGCAAUUAUAUGAUACUUCCAUAUUCAUACUAUUUUUAUGAAAUGUGCAGCUAGUUUGUCGACAGGAGCACGAACAACCACAACUUCUACAAAGCUUCCACAUGGUUUCAUUUAGUAUCAUGCAAAAGACAUUGAGACAAUCAAGAUUACUUGAGCAACCUGAAUUAUGUUAGUUGUUACCUGCUUUCAAACGAAUCUGUCCUCUCAUAGUAUGCAUGUACUUCUGUUGUUGAGGAAUUUAUAUCAUUAGACAUUUAUGUUUUUCAUAAUUAUUGAUUAAUGGGUACAUACCUUCAAUCCUAGAAGAUUAUCAGAUAGCCAGUCAAGGAAGCAAUUUGUUUAUUGAAUUGGGCAUAAUAGGAACAUUAUUACAUUAAAGGAACAUCAUAGGAAUAAUUUGGUAUUUCGAGAAGAUUUUCCAGUCCCCUGCCCCAACCUACUGGAGACAGUAUGAGUGGUGACAGACACAUUUGUAACAUACGAGCAAGCUAGUGCAGCAGCUUCAGUCACAUGCUCUAGAAGCCCAUUUUGGGUCUUCCUUCAGAAGGCUCAACAAGGCCAUCAUCACACCAUUCUAGUUAGUUACUUCUGCAACGAUAUAUGUCCGUAAGAAAAUAAGAAGCUAGGGUUCUAGUAGACUUAUAGUGCUCUAACAGCACCACGUUGGAUAUGCCCGCACAAAUAAAAUAACAUGAAUUGAGUCUAUAUGUAAGAACAUAUCUUGUCACCAGUCAACUACUAGUACAGUAAGAGCAUCAAAGAGGAAUUCAUUUCAUAUAGAAUAGUCGCAAUCAUAUACUUUUGUUCUGCACAUACUGCUCAUUAUCAUGGACAAUGAUGUAGCUAGCUAAAAGGGAGCAUGUGGCUAUAAUGUAAGCAGGGAGGCUCUAGGGACGAGCUCAACAGACAGACCUAACCUGCUCUUGCAAGGAACCAGUAAGCCUUGCUACAUUGUCACCUGCAUGUUGCAUGGCAUCGCGUCCACCAGCUAUUGUGGUAUGUCGCAACUCUUUCCUCACAUCUUUUCACCGAAGCGAUCGUUGGCGAAUUCUAAUCUUUCUGGAACAACAUUCCUAAUUCCCUGCACUAGAAGGUCAUCAUGAUACAUCGGUACAUCGGAAUUCCGGACACAUUAACAAAAUCUUUGCCCAAAUCAAAUUAAGGGAGAAAUGAGAAAUGAAGGAGAGAACCAAAUAGUAAGUUAGAUUAUAUAUAUAUACAUACAUAUAUAUAUAUGACAUGGAUACACUUCCGGUUGUUUUUACUAUGAACGAUAUAUAUNNNNNNNNNNNNNNNNNNNNNNNNNNNNNNNNNNNNNNNNNNNNNNNNNNNNNNNNNNNNNNNNNNNNNNNNNNNNNNNNNNNNNNNNNNNNNNNNNNNNNNNNNNNNNNNNNNNNNNNNNNNNNNNNNNNNNNNNNNNNNNNNNNNNNNNNNNNNNNNNNNNNNNNNNNNNNNNNNNNNNNNNNNNNNNNNNNNNNNNNNNNNNNNNNNNNNNNNNNNNNNNNNNNNNNNNNNNNNNNNNNNNNNNNNNNNNNNNNNNNNNNNNNNNNNNNNNNNNNNNNNNNNNNNNNNNNNNNNNNNNNNNNNNNNNNNNNNNNNNNNNNNNNNNNNNNNNNNNNNNNNNNNNNNNNNNNNNNNNNNNNNNNNNNNNNNNNNNNNNNNAUACAUAUAUAUACAUACAUACAUAUAUAUACAUACAUACAUAUAUAUAUAUACAUACAUAUACAUACAUACAUAUAUAUAGAUACAUACAUAUAUAUAUAUAUACAUACAUACAUUUCAUAGUAAAAACAACCGGAAGUGUAUCCAUGUUGUUUGCUUAGGAAUCAAGGUCCUAUUCACUGGGAUGAUAAACCUACUAAAUAAAAGGGUUCUCAAAGUCCCUUCAGAACUAGAGUCGAGUAACACAGUCAUGGUCCCAUGGGGUUUCAGGAUAACGACAUGCAAAUGUGGUUAACACAAUCAGCUCUCUCAUUAAGAUUUGUCUUAUUUUUUAUCACUACGGGAAAAUUCAUGUUUGCCGAGUGUUAGUGUCUUUGUUGAGUGCAUUAUGUUGGGCACUCGGCAAACAUAUCUUUGCCGAGUGUAAUCCUGAAACAUGGUAAACAUGUGCUUUGCCCACUGCCGUGGAAAAAAACUCUGGCAAAAAAGUUAUAGUUACUAAAAGGUGCUUUGUUGAGUGUCUUGGAAAUAACUCUCGUCAAAAUAGUAGAACUCGGGCAAAGAUGUGCUUUCCCGAGUGCUACACUCGGCAAAAGGGGGUAUGCACUGUGCUCACUGUUUUGGCUGUCGAGAUUGCAUACAACCUCGGAUGAAGAUGAUCCAAAAAUCAAAGUUUUUCAUUUCGACAAGAUGAAUAGUUUUCAUGUUGAGGACCUUUUCAUUUUAGGCCAUAUUAUUUACACUUUUUGCCAUGCCAAAAUAUGGUCCCAAAUGAAUAAGGCGGUGGUCAUAUUUAUUGCAUAGUUUAUGACUAUGGGCCUAACCUUGGCAUUUAUGUGCAUCUUGCCAUUACAAACAAUUUUGCCAAAUAGAGUUUCCAACAUUUUGUACAAAAAUAAUUUUUUUAUUUUUGAAGCGUAAAAAAUUGAUACUUUUGGAAGCUGGUAAAAAAAUAGAGUGCAAAAUGGCAUCACUCCAAUUUUCACAAAAAUAGACCAUGCUUUUUUAGAAAAUUCCCAUUUCUUGUGGAUUUUCUAGAUUUCUAGCUACUUUCACACAUUUGUAUGACUUUAUUAUGAUUCCGCAAAAUUAAUUCAAUUUGAACUGUAAUUGUGUGAUAGCUCUGUCCUAGAAAUUUGUAAAAAAUACUUUUAGGUACACAAGUAGUCAUUACCUGGAAAACCCACUUAGAGUUUGAGAGAUUCAACCCCUUACAUGAAUAGCCAUGCCGGCCACUUUCACCCCGUUUUGGAAAAAAUGAAACAAAAAGGAUACAAGUUCAAAAAAUGCAAUCCUUUCAUAUGGACUCCUUUUAUGUGUACUAGUGUGGAUGAAAAUACCAAACUUUCAAUAUGACAGUUUUCAAAGAAAAAUAUCCUUCGCAAAUGGGCUAUCCUCUAUGAACAUUCAUGGCUUUCAAGUCAAUGACCAAGGUGAUGACCAUAUUCAUUGCAUAGUUUAUUAUAAUGUGCCUAAAUUAGACAUAUAGGUGAACCUUGCCAUUACAAAUAAUGUUGCAAAAUAGAGUUUCCAACUUUUUUGUUCAAAAAAAAUCAUUUUCUAUUUCAGUGUAAAAAAUGGGUGUUUUUUGUGAAGCAGGUACCAAAAACAGGGUACAAAAUGGCACCACUCCAAUUUUCACAAAAAGUAGACCGUAUUUGAUGGACAAUUCCCAAAGUGUGUAGAUUUAUCUCUUAAAAUUUAUCAAUUGGUGUAUUUUUUAAUAUUUAAUGAAAAUAUUAUAUGUAUUUUUAAUAGGAAGGGCGGAUAUUUAAAGGAUAGCAUAGACAUCUGAGGGUGUACGUUAAAGCAUUGGAGGUACCUUUAUGUGCCAGUUUACGCCAUGCUCAACCGGCAAUGUGGUAGUAUUAAUUAGUAUAUACUUUUGAUUGUAAAAGAAAUCAAUAUAUAAUUUGUUUGGAUUAUUUUAGUUUGCAGUGCAAAUUUAAAAUGGAUUUAUUUAGCCUAUUUUUGUGAAAUCACUAAUUAGGAGGUACCUUUUGCAAAGGUCACACCCCACUUUCAUUAGUGCUGAUAGGUGGCACAUGGCAUGUGUGUCCCUUGUCACAACAUGGGAAUUUCCCCCUUUUUGUAGAUUCAUUUUUUAAAAUCUUUUAUCUCUUGAACCGCGCAUUCAAAUCACGACCCAUUUUUAUCGUUGGAUUUCUCGCGCUGAGAUCUUGAAACUAGUCGCGUGUUAAUAAGUUCCGAUGAACUUUUUCUUCACGAAAAUCAAAAAUCAAAAAAAUAUGAAAAUAAAAAAUACAGAAAGCAAAAAAAGAAAAAAAACCUAAAAUCAGGGUUGUGCUUUUUUACAUUUUUGGGAAGAAAAAAUGUGCUUUCCCCUUUUGGGAAACACGGUUUUGCUUCUUGUGCAAGCAUAGGUCGUGCUUUUCCCUUUUCAAGAAGCAUAGGCCAUGCUUCUCUUGUUCUCCGGGAAGCACAUAUGUGCCUUUCCUUUCGGGGAGCACAGUUUUCUCUUUCGGAAAAGUAUAGAUGUGUUUUUCCCUUUUCAGAGAAGCACUACCUAUGCAUUUCACCGAAGAACGUGCUAUGCUUUUCCUUUUUUGAGGAAGUAUAGUUGUGCUUUCCCUUUUUUACAUGGAAGCAAAAAUUGUGCUUUCUUCCUUCUCGAGAAGCUAUGCUUCCCGCGGAAAAGCACAGCCUCAUGAAAAAACAUAAAAAUGAAUUUUUUUCAUAAAAACCUAGGGAAAACCAAGAAAAAAAGAAAACAUGUGUAAAAAAAUCUAAGCGUGUACCCAGUGCACGACACGUGGCGGCAAUUGGACGCAUCACUUGAUGCGCUCUCAGGUCCAAAAAGUAGCCUCUGUGGAAUCCCCCGAUGAGAUACCCGUUAGAUAGUUGGAGACCUCCUUGCAUCAAAUAGGAGGGUGGCCACAAAGGGGGCGCGUCCUGGUGGGCCGGCCCAGCAGCGUGCUACACUCUAGCGCAAAUUGGUCAAAAUCUAAAAAGUGAUGUGUGAUCAAAGCGCGCAUGGCUAGCCACUCAAGCUAAUGAAUCUCUGCUAACUACUAGGUCGUGUUGAACUUUAAAAAGUACUAUAUGAUACCCCGCGCGUUGUUGCGGGAACUCUUAGUACUUUACAUGAAGAAGCUUGUGGACUGAAAAUAAUUAAAUGAUGAAAAUAUACACUUUUUAAAACCUUUGGUGGUACUUGUAGGAACAUUAUGGAGUGAAAAUAAGUUAACAAUUAAUAUAUUUUUGAACCUUUGAUGGUAUUUUGAGAAUCAUGAGAGAAAUGGUAUAUUAGGAUAUCUCUGUCUUUAUGUAGUUAGAACGCGUCACCCUUUAGCGGGAAAUUAAAUGCAUCACUAACAUUAAAAAAUAAAGCAUAUAGUUUGAUGGGAAUUUCACUGAAAACAUGGCCAGCCAAGUCUAAAGCUGAAUAUUACACUGAACAGAGAGCCCAAUCAUUUCCUAACACAAAAGCACUAAUCUUGUUGAGUUAUUUGUAAUAUAGGAGCAGAAUCCCUUCGAAAGAGAAAUUCCAAAAUAUUAAAAAGAUCCAACAGUAAGACAUCCAUACACCUUCAGUUUAUACAUGGCGACAAGCUACAUACCAAUCGCUAAAAAAGGUGAAUAUAGAGUCAUGCACAUCAGGCCCUCAUGGCAUAGAUGCAUUUCUUCCACUAAAAGGACAUGCCUUAAGGGGAUUGGUGUAGGUGUGAAGAUCUGGACAUAUAAAUGGCAAGAAUGACUUCAUCUUCCUGCCCCUUCUGUGGAAACAGAGGCCCGACUUCAAUUGGGAUCCGUCGGCAUGUUGCUCCCUCUUCAUAAAAUGGAGCUGAUUGUUAUCUAAAAGCAAGCUAGGUAGAUUUGGCAUGGCCAGCAGUAGUACUUGCUACUUUGCCAGUUGUGAUGCAAGGAAGGUUGCGUGCUGCCAUGGCCGGACCCUUUGGGGUGCCAAAUGGUGUUCAAAUUUAUAGUAGGUUCCAUUUUUGGUGGGAAUCCAAGGAAAAGAAGGCAAUGGAGUAAGAUGACAACCCAUUCCCAGACUGCCACUCAAAAUCAAAAUGAAGAGGGUAAAUAAAUGUACUUACUAAGAACACACGGAUAACAUACAGCUGGCUACAGAAACAGCCAAACUUUGUAAGUCCACGGAAAUUGAGGAAAUUGUGAAAACUAUUUCUGUGAGUAGAAGGAAAUGUAGUCCAGUUACCUUUCAUGGUAAUGCUUCUCUUGAGCCGAUUCUCAGGAUCCCUGAAGAAUGUCUUUUGUUUUCCCGAAGCAGGAUUCCUUGCUAGAGCAGUACCUUUUGUUCUCUUGAGUUAAGGCAGAGUGGGAAAUACAUCACUAUCAGCUCUAGUUCAAUUGCUUGUAUUUUACAAAAACAUACAAUUGAAACAAUUAUCAGGAAAAGUUAUUACCUUAAUCGCAGCAACUCUUUGAGCAUGCAAUUUGGCGUCUUGGUGUAUAAUCUUCAUGUGUAAACAAUUUGUUUUAGCAUCUAGACUCUAUAAUUAAAAUUAAUAAGCUCUUUAAAAGCCGAAGGCAACUAUAUAGACCAAUACAAUUAAACAAAGGCAGCGGGUAGGUUUCAAAUUUGAAGUAGCAGGGAUCCAUAGUUAACUCUCCAUCAUGCAGGCAUUUAGUGUAGUAGAUACAAGACAUACGUGUGACAGAUUGCAUAUGAACAACAUUUAUUAGUAGGAAAAUUGUACUACCGUAUAUUGCACUAACACUAACUAUAUGAAGAAGCCAAUAGCAUGUAAUUUCAGCUUGCAAGAAAGCACCACUUACUCUUAUAGAUCGGCUAAUCUACAUGGCAACUUCCGAGGAUGGUGAUGGAUAAGUACAGUUGGAUCGUUUUUAGGUGUUAAUCUAUUAUUAUAAAAAUCAUCUUCCUUUACUUUCAAGGGAGAACUCUAGAGGGGAAAGAACAACAUUUUUUAAUUUAAUGAUCCAUCACUUAUUCACAACUAUUGCAAUAACCAAGUAUGUUGGAUGCAAGGAGGAGGUGAGAGUGCAGGCAACAGGUAUGUCACAUCAUGCGAACAGGUGGGGAUCAUGUUAAGUCAAUGCAGAAGGAUGCGUUGUGUGUCCGCGCACCGUCAACACUACUGAGUAAAUAGUAAACUAAACCUGGGGACCAGCGUUCUUGACCUUCCUAGCUACUUCUGGCAUAGGGGGAAUAUUUGAGGAUUUAUAGUGCUGACAUUAGGGUUAGGAGNNNNNNNNNNNNNNNNNNNNNNNNNNNNNNNNNNNNNNNNNNNNNNNNNNNNNNNNNNNNNNNNNNNNNNNNNNNNNNNNNNNNNNNNNNNNNNNNNNNNNNNNNNNNNNNNNNNNNNNNNNNNNNNNNNNNNNNNNNNNNNNNNNNNNNNNNNNNNNNNNNNNNNNNNNNNNNNNNGUGUCUUCUGGCCUCCUCCCGAAGCUUCCUAGGUUUCUUCUGGUCCAAGAAAAAUCAUCGUAAAGGUUUAUUCGUUUAGACUCCGUUUGAUAUUCCUUUUCUGUAAAACUCAAAAACAAGAAAAAAACAGAAACUGACACUGGGCUCUGGGUUAAUAAGUUGGUCCCAAAAAUAAUAUAAAAUAACAUAUUAAUGCAUAUAAAUCAUCCAAAAUAGGUAAUAUAAUAGCAUUGAACAACCAAAAAUUAUAGAUACUUGGAGACGUAUCAGGAUCAUGUUAAGUCGAUGCGAAAGGAUGCAUUGUGUGUCCGCGCACUGGAUGCUUGCAUUUAUAUGGUUCUAUCAGCGUCGCCGAAUAAACUAAAUCUGGGGAUCGGUGCUCUUGACCUUCCCAACUACUUCAACUGGAAAUCAGAUACUCCAUGCCAAAUAAGAAAGACCGUUCAGGUCGUGCUGAUAGAGAGGAAAGAGACCACUCACCUCCGACAAUGGCACGUGUGGCUCGCCUGAAGGUCGUUGGGUUGAAUCCACGGUGUUGGGCUAGCGUAGCACCCAUUGGCGGCAAUCAUGGGGCUCCAAGAUGGCGUCACCGUGUAGAUGUCUGGUGUUGUUGGCCAUAGACGGUUUUGUCAAAGGCGACACAUUAUGGAAAGAUGGAGAGAUAAAAGAGGGGAGGAGAAGAACCAGGAAGACAAUAGAGAUUUAUUGGUGAAGGGGAGAUGAACGGAAUCAUCGGGCGAAGAGGUGAUGGCUCGUGUCCGCAUUAGUAUUUUCCCCAAAGAGGAAGGGAUGAUGCAACACAGCUACGAUAGGUAUUUCCCUUAGUGAUGAGACCAAGGUUAUCGAACCAGUAGGAGAACCACGCAACACUAUGUAAACGGUACCUGCACACAAAGAACAAAUACUUGCAACCCGACGCGUAAGAGGGUUUUCAAUCCCUCCCGGUAAAAGAUAGAUUGGUUUCUAGUAGAUUGGAUAAAUAGAUCUCGCGGAAACGCAAAAUAAAAUAAAUAACAAAAAAUUGCAUCAAGGUAUUUUUGGGUUUUUAGAAUAAUAGAUAUCUAUACCUACUAAUAAAAGAAAUAGGUAUUCUUCGUCCGUCAUGCUAUUUUGUAGAAACCCCCCUGAUGUUUCUGACAUUAAACCCGCAGUACAUAUCAAGUGCUUUUUAAAAUACUCAUAAUUAUAAACCAUAACUCCAAAUUUAACAUAUUAUAUAUGGAAUUUAAUUAGAAAAUUAUGUAGAAUCUAAAUAUGAUGUUAUUUUACCUGUUAACAAUUUUUAAAAUAAACUAUCUAGGAUGCAAUGUUAAUCAACAAUGCAUUAUUCGUCUUUUUUAUACCGGUAUUGAUUUAGAUUGGGGAUGAAAACCUCAACAAAAUCAGGAUUGGACAUUAGAUUGAAGAUAAAUUUGUUAGAGACACUGAAUAAAUAUGGGCAUGCAUGACAAGAAAUAAAAAGAUCCAAUAAAGAUGGGAUGUCCGCUAUAAAAAUAAAUAAAAGAGAAAAUGCAGAGGAGAUCCGAUAAAGAUGAGAUGUUGCGCUAUUCUCCUAUAUAUAAGAAGAGCAAAAGGAGGACAUGCAUGAAAAAAGGUAAAAAGGAGGCAUGCAUGAAAAAAAAUACAAGUUUUAUAAGAAAUAAAUAGUGAUUGAAACAGGGACCAAUACUAAUGACAUGUAUGGCAAGAAAUAGUGAUGAAAUAGGGGCGCAAGUACCUGAGUCAACAGGAGACCAUAAAAAUGUUCUUUUCCAGACCAAAAAACCUAUUUUAUAAUUAAAAAAUCUUGUACCUUUUUAACAACCUUUUUAACUCUUCAUGUAUUUAAGAAAUAGCUACAAAUUCUCGGAUUAUAAAACAUUUUUUGUAAAUUAAGAGCGUGUGGUACUUUUUCCCGUCGCAACGCACGGGCCUUUUUGCUAGUGAAAAUAAAAGAGGCAAAUAAUAGAUCGGAAAGCAAAUAUGAUAAAGAAUAGACCCGGUGGCCGUAGAUUUCACUAGUGGCUUCUCUCCACAAAAAUAGCAUACAGUGGGUAAACAAAUUACUGUUGGGCAAUUGAUAGAACUUAAAAUAAUUAUGAAGAUAUCCGGGCAAUGAUCAUUAUAUAGGCAUCAUGUCCUAGAUUAGUAGACCUACUCCUUCCUGCAUCUACUACUAUUACUCCACACAUCGACCGCUAUCCAGCAUGCAUCUAGUGUAUUAAGUUCAUGGAAAAAUGGAGUAAUGCAAUAAGAAUGAUGACAUGAUGUAAACAAGAUCUAUUCAUGUAGGAAUAGACCCCAUCUUGUUAUCCUUAAUGCAACGACCAAUAUGUGUCUUGCUGCCCCUUUUGUCACUGGGAAAGAACACCGCACGACCGAUCCCAUCACAAAGCACCUCUUCCCAUGGUAAGAAAAAUCGAUCUAGUCAACCUAACUAAACCAAAGAUUCGAAGAAGAAUACGAGGCUAUAAGUAAUCAUGUGUCUAAGAGAUCAAAACUCAAAUAACUUUCAUGUAUAAAAUAGAUCUGAUCAUAAACUCAAAGUUCAUCGGAUCCCAACAAACUCACCGCAAAAAGAGUUACAUCAAAUAGAUCUCCAAGAGACCAUUGUAUUGAGAAUCAAAAGAGAGAGAGGAAGCCAUCUAGCUACUGCCUACGGACCCGUAGUUCUACAAUGAACUACUCACGCAUCAUCGGAGAGGUACCAAUGAGGAUGAUGAACCCCUCUGUGAUGGUGUCUAGAUUGGAUCUCAUGGUUCCGGAACUUGCGGCAGCUCGAAUUGUGUUUCGUCGAAUCCCCUAGGGUUUUUGGAUUUUCGGGGUAUUUAUAGAGCAAAAAGGUUGUGCGGGAGGGCACCGAGGUGGGCACAACCCACCAGGGCACGCCUGGGCCCCUAGGUGCGCCCAGGUGGGUUGUGUCCCCUGGGGGCACCCCUCUGGUACUUCUUUGGCCCAAGUUGUUCCUUCUGGUCUAGAAAAAUUCUCCAAAAAGUUUCGCUGUGUUUGGACUCAGUUUGGUAUUGAUUUUCUACGAAGUAAAUAACAAGCAAAAAAUAACAACUGGCACUGGGCACUAUGUCAAUAGGUUAAUAAAAUGAUAUAAAGUUGCUAUAAAAUGAUUGUAAAAUAUCCAAGAAUGAUAAUAUAACAGCAUGGAACAAGCAAAAAUUAUAGAUACGUUGGAGACGUAUCAAGAGGCAAUAAGAGGAAGGCGCGGCAAUCAGUUCGACGGUAGUAAAAAAUUACGCGAUUCGUUUCGUUGAAAAGGGAAAAAGGAAGCAUUGGUGACGUGGCAGAUUUUCUUACGUGGAUGGCUGCAUGUUGAUUGCUGAUGUGGAUAGGCUACAUGUCAAGAGAAAUACGGUACUGCGGAUGAACUAUUUAGGUAUUAUAGAUGCGCAACAUCACAUCUAAACUCUUUAUGAAAUUACAAAACACGAUGGUUUUUAAAAUGGAUAUAUUUUGGAACCCAAUUUUUUUAAAUUUAUGAAUAAAUUUUUGAAAACUUGAACAAUUUCUUGAGUCUAUGAACAAUUUUUUGAACACGAACUUUUUUUCAAAAUUUCAAAAUGCAAUUAUUUUUUUAAUGCAACCUUUUUCAAAAUUCAAAAACAUGAUUGUUUGUAAAGUGAAUAUGUUUUUAAAAUUCUAGACUAAAUUUGCAAGUUGAAUAUUUUUUGAGAAACACUCGAAAUUGUGGACGUUUUCUAAAACGACAAAGAACUUUGAAAAACAUCAAACAUUUUUCAAAUCACGGAUUCUGGGAAAAAAAACAAAUUCCAAACAUAUUUUAGAAAUUUUGUAUUUAUGAAAAAAGAAAAAGAAACAGAAAAUGAAAAAAGAAAGAAAGCAAGGAAAAGCAGUGAAGAAAUAAAACAGAAAAAAGGAAAAAACCUGAAAAUAGUGGUAAAGACUGAUCCUAGCUACUUGGGCUGGUCCAUCUAUGGUUUACUCGCUGCUCAUUUCGGAGAUUUCUUUUAGGGGUAAAACCAAGUUUUAUACAUCAAAAACCAUAGAGUGUGGGAUAGAGUUUGGGUCAUGGCAUUUUCCAAAGCAAACAUUGCGUCCCAGACCUAACGAAAGAGAAAACCUGCCUAGAUUAUGUGCUUCGACAUUUACAGAAUGAUCUUUAGAUAAAAAAAUACAAUGAAAUAAAUACGGUUGCAACUUGAUCUCGUUGAUAAUGGCUCGUUUCCACAUAGUUUGCUCACACUUUUGAGAGAAAAUUUAGCCUUGAUGGGCUGGGAAAUUGGGCCAGCCAUCCUCAAGUGUGACUGGCUUGUCUUUGUCUAGUAUAAAUCCCAUCACGUUGCCCAAGAGCCCACCCUUAUCUAUUUUUCUACAGGACCCAUAUGUGUUUGGUUCCUUCAGCACGAUGGGCCGCCUCCCAGCCUCCCUCGCCCGCUCGAUAGCUCCCCCGCCAAUAGAGUUAGGCCCUCGACCCUCCCCCACCCCAAGGUUGCGAGCAUGUCCCUUCCCGACAUCUCUUCCACACGGCCUCGUCCCACCCCAUGUUCUCCCCCAAGUGCUUUGUCGAGUGUCGUGGAAAAAUAUUCUUGGCAAGAUAGUGGAACUCACGCAAAAUGUGCUUUAUCGAGUGCUACACUCGGCAAAAGGGGGUAUGCAGGGAAGCAAAAUCGUGCUUUUUUUCCUUCUCGGGAAGCUGCGCUUCCCGUGGAAGGCUUCAUCAAAAACCAGAAAAAAAGAUUUUUUUUCAUCAAAACCUAGGGAAAAUAAAAGAAAAAAACACGUGUAAAAAUAAAAUCUUAAGGGUGUACCUGCACACGACAUGUGGCCGCAGUUGGGCACAUCACUUGAUGCGCUCUCAGGGCCUCAAAGUAACCUCUGCAGGAACCCUCGACAAGAAACCCAUCAGAUAGUUGGAGUCCCCCUUGCGUCAAAUAGGAGUGUGGCCACAAGGGGAGCGCGUCCUGGUGGGCCGGCCCAGUAGCCUGUAGCACUCUACCGGAAAUUUGUCAAAAUCUAAAACAUGACGUUUGAGCAAAGCUCGCAUGGCUAGCCAGUCAAGCUGAUGAAACUUUGCCAACUACUAUGUCGCGUUGAUCAGUAAAAAUUAUGUGCAACAUCACAUAUGAAAAAAAAUUGGAAUUUCAAAACACGAUUGUUUUUAAAAUGAACUAGUAAAGUGGCCCGCUCGAUGUGCGGGCUAGAUUUUUAAGUUUUUUUAAUAAUAUCAUAUUGUUUGAUUUGGCUAAAGAAAAAUUGGAACCCAAUAUGACGACUUUAUUGUGCGGGCUCAAUCUUUGAAUCGUUUAUUAUGUUUUAUGAUUGAAUUUCUUAUCUGUAGUAAGUCAAUACAUAAUUAUGACGACUUUAUUGUGCGGGCUCAAUCAAUAUUAUUAUUUACUGUUAUUCUUCUUAUUGUUAUUGUUAAAAAAACAAUGUUAAAGUCAACCCAUUUGAAAAAAACUAAUUUAAUGUAAGUAUAGUAUCUAAAGUCCUAGUAUAGUAAUUUCAUUUUAAUUUAAUUUUAUUGUAUUCUUCCAUUUUGAAAAUGUAUUUUUAUUAUGAAUCUAGCACUUUAGUUAAAAUACAAAUAAAAGUACUACAUUACUGAUCCCAACAUUAAACAAGAAUGUGUACAUAAACUUGUCUUUAUCAUCGAUGAAUUACAACCAGAUCAUAUGUUUAAAUAAUGGAUAUUUAUAUUAUGAAUCAACCAAGCAUAGUUCUUUUGAUCUCGUAGAUUGUGAUUUUCCAAUAGUGUCUUGUCUUUUUGUUUAUGUGCAAAUAAUAGUUCACCUAUCAUAUUUUACGAGAAUGGGAAACAAAUAUAAGAAAUAGAACUGAAAGAAUUAUAUGGACGUCUAUUCUUGGAAAAUUGUUUAUGGUGUCACCAUCUCGUUCACGUGUGAGUAUGCAAUCUAAUUUCUAACAUGGCAUUCUUUCAUGCGUGAAGAAAUUUCAAGUUAUCACAACGCGACAUGAGUUCGAUAGAAUAUUAACUCAUUCGAAAAAAAAGAUAUGUACAUACAAAACUAAUGAAGUAACUUCAGUAAAAAUUAAUAUGUUACCCAAGAUUUUGAGGGACUGUGAUUUUGAAGGGGUAUUACAUUUUUGUAAUGUUAACUUGACACAUUGGUGAGAAACACAAUUCGAAUAGAAUACACUAAAGCUGAGAAAACAGAACUUUGUUGAACAAUAAUUAACCGGCUAAGAACUUACAAUGUAUCAUGCCUUUGCUGUUAACAACUAUAUGCAGCAGUAUUUUUUUUAUAUUUAUAAUUAUCACUCAAACUAACUUUUUAGAAAGCAUACUAAUUAGUUAGAUAUUCAGGGAUGCAUUGAUAACAGUAAUCGCUAUCGUCUAGCCUUGCCUCCUGUCUGAUGCACUACAAGCAAAGGAUUCAAAACUACGUUUUCCUGUAAUGUAAAACAAUAAUACUUCAUGGAGAUCAUGUUUGCAUGUGCAUAUGGAAUUCAUCAAUAGUAGGUAGAAAAGUCCUAGCUAGCUUAGCUUAGCUUAGGAUAACGCCCUGGCAUCUAAACUGCUUCAUAUAUGCAAUCCAAUUGUAUGGGUCAAAUAUACAAAACCUGAAGCUCAUGGUCUAGAUGUUUCAUUGAUAAUAUCAUUUCCACCAGACUGGCGACCGAUUAUACAGUAGUCUACCUGUAUUGUUUAACACUGAGAUACCGCAUCAGCCAAAUCAUAGCACCUGAGGUGCCUCUUCUAGUGGACGGUGAGAGCAUAUCUGUAAUAAUCAUCCUUUGUAUAACAUUAUUUAUACCUCCAAAUGUUGCACCACACAUGUUCAUCUUUAGAGUCAAGCCCUAUUGCAGCGCAGGUUGUGCUUGGCCAGCACCUUCGUGAUGAACUUGCCAGUGACCACAGUGCAAGCAACUACCAGUACCCAGGAAGCCUCGACGAAGCCAAUGACGUACUGCUCUAUUUCGCGCCGGUGCCAUGUGGCCCACUUGUUUCCCUGAGCAUGUCGGUAUCGACAAAGGAACGAUAGUCGCUAGAUUAAAGGGAAGUGAGAUGGAAAGACACACUCGAGGAGGAAGAUGUUUAGGACUAUGUAUUUGCAUACUCUUUUGGAUCAAGGACGUGGGAUGUAAGUACGGUGUUUGCCUUUUUUUUCUUUCUCUUUUUAGCUUUGAAGGGAUGUGUACAUGUUUUUUUUAUGUCUACAUGCUUGAUUUUUUUUCCUCUGGAGGGAUAUGUACUUGUUUGUAUUUUUAAAAGGUUGGGGGAUCAUNNNNNNNNNNNNNNNNNNNNNNNNNNNNNNNNNNNNNNNNNNNNNNNNNNNNNNNNNNNNNNNNNNNNNNNNNNNNNNNNNNNNNNNNNNNNNNNNNNNNNNNNNNNNNNNNNNNNNNNNNNNNNNNNNNNNNNNNNNNNNNNNNNNNNNNNNNNNNNNNNNNNNNNNNNNNNNNNNNNNNNNNNNNNNNNNNNNNNNNUAUAUAUGUGGGAUAUGUACGUGCUUGUAUUUUUAAAAGGCUGGGGAUCAUUCAUUUUGUACGCACUUGUUUUUGUUUCAAAUGUAUAUACGUGCCUGAUGGAUAUGUGUGGGGACGUUCUUUUUUUUUCCAUGAUGGAUGAACGAUGUGGGAUGUGUAUUUUUUUAUAUCUGGGGGGUACACUCUUUUUUAGUGUCCACCGGGUUAUGAAGAUCUAAGGCCUAUGAUUUAUUAGUACAGAGAAGUUCUAUUAAAUCAACCAUCGGAUACUUCUGAUUUUUAUAGAAUUUUUGAUCAUAUUUCUCUUUGUUAGUUAACCUGCUAUUUACUUUUAAUAUAUAGUAGAUACUAUAUAUGCAGUACGUGACCAUGUAUGAGUUUGUGAGGGAUUCUCUAUAUACACAUAUGUGCGUUUGUUUUUUCCUUAUGGAACAGAUGUGCAUGCACGUGCUUUCCAAUUAACAUGGUAGGCUUGCCAAAAAAAUUAACGUGAUUCCUCACGCAACAUCUUUUUUUAUAGAAGAGCUCUGACAACCGAAUAAUCCAGGCUUUUUUUCUAGAUUGGAAAAUAUCUACGUGGGACAUGUGCCACGUAAAUCCUUAGAGGCCCAUCAUAUUAUAUAUGUUACGUAAAUUGAACGGUCACGUAAUCUUAAUUUUAAGAGAUUUACCGGAUCGAGGGUUAUUAUUUUCUAAUUAAUGUGGAAUUUUAUAACCUAUUUCUCUCCCUUCUGGUUCACCGUAUAUUACUUUUAGUAUAUAAAAUAGAUGGUUUUUGGAACAUGGACUUUUUCCAAAUUUAUGAAUAAAAUUUGAAAACUAGAGCAAUUUUUGACUAUAUCAAGGUUUUUUUCAAACACAAACUUUUUUUGAAAUUUUAAAACACGAUUAUUAUUUUAAUACAACCUUUCUUAGAUUUCAAAACACGUUUUUAAUGAAUAUUUUCUUAAACCCUACCAAAAGUUGAAAAUUUGAACAUUUUCAAAAACACUCCGAAGUGUGGACAUUUUCUAAAAAACGUGAAAGGAUUUAGGAAAACUUCAAACUUUUUCAAAGCACGAAUAAUUUUUGGGAAAAAUGAAACAAAAUCAAAUUCCGAACAGUUUUUGAACAUUUUUUUAGAAAUGUUGAAUUUAUGAAAAAAAAGGAUAAAUUAUGAAAGAAACGAAAAUCGGUGAAGAAGAAAACAAGAGAAGGAAAAAAACUAAAAAAUAGUGUAAGAAAAAAACACCAAUACUAGCUACUUGGGAUGGUACAUAUGCGGUUUGCUCACUGCACAUUUCCUAAAAUUUUUUAGGGGUAAAAGCAAGUUUUAAUCAUCAAACACCAUAGAGUGUGGGAUAGAGUUGGGGUCGUGGCAUUGGUUAAACCCAACGCGGCGUCCCAGACCUAACGAAAGAGAAAGACUGGCUAGACUAUGUGCUUCGACAUUGAUAGCAUGACCUUUACAAGAAAAAUUACUAUCAAAUAAAGAUGGUUGCAACUUAAUCUCGUUGAUAAUGGCUCGUUUCCCACAUAGUUUGCUCACAGUUUUUGAGAGAAAAUUUAGCCUUGAUGGGCUGGGAAAUCGGGCCAACCAAUCUCAAGUGCGACCGACUCAUCUUUGUCCACUAGAAAGCCUGCCACGUCGCCCAAGAGCCAACCCUUAUCUUUUUUUUACAGGACCCGUAUAUGUUUUAUUCCUCCAGCAAGACCGGUCGCCGCCAAGCCUCUCUCGCCCGCUCGACAGCUCCCCCCGCCGCCGGGGCUAAGCCCUGGAUCCCCCUACCCCCAGGUUGCGAGCUUGUCCCAUCCCUCCCUCUCUUCUGCGUAGCCUCGCCCCACCUCGUCUUCUCCCCCACCGGUGCUUUGCCUAGUUUCUUGGAAAAAACUCUCGAUAAAAUAUUGGAACUCUGGCAAAAUGUGCUUUCCUGAUUGCUACACUCGGCAAAAGGGGGUAUGCACUGCACUGUUUUGGUUGUCCAUAUUGCAUACGACCUCGGAUGAAGAUGAUCCCAAAAUCAAAGUUUAUCAUUUUGACAAGAUGAUUAAUUUUCAUGUUCAGAACUUUUCCAUUUUAAGCCAUGUUAUUUACACAUUUGGCAAUGCCAAAAUAUGGUCUCAAAUGAAUAUGGCGGUGGUCAUAUUUAUUGCAUAGUUUCUGACAAUGGGCCUAAAGUUGGCAUUUUGUUGCAUCUCGCCAUUACAAACCAUGAUGCCAAAUAGAGUUUCCAACAUUUUGUACAAAACUAAUUUUCCCAUUUUCUAAGUGUAAAAAAUGGAUAUUUUGUGAAGCGGGUAAAAAAACAUAGUGCAAAAUGGCACCACCCCAAUUUACAUAAAAAGUAGACCACAUGUUUUAGAAAAUUCCCAGGUUUUGUGGAUCUUCUAGAUUUCUAGCUACUUUCGCACAGUUAAAUUCAAAUUUGAACUUUAAGUCUGUGAUAGCUUUGUCCUAAAAAUUAGCAAAAAUGUAAUCUAUUUUUUUAGGUAUGCAAGUAGUCAUUUUAUGAAAUCACCACUUAAGUUUGAGAGAUUCAGGCCCUUGCCGUGACUAUCCAUGCCGGGCAUUUUGACCCCGUUUUGGAAAAAUGAAACAAAAAGGAUACAAGUUCAACAAAAUGCAAUCCAUUCGUAUGGACUCCUUUUAUGUGUACUAGCUAGGACGAAAAUACCAAACUUCAAUAUGAAAACUUUGAAAGAAAAAUAUCCAUCACAAAACGGGCUAUCAUGUAUGAACCUUCACGGCUUUCAAGUCAAACGACCAAGGUGACGACAAUAUCCAUUCCAUAGUUUAUUAUAUUAUGCCCAAAUUAGACAUAUAGGUGAAUCAUGUCAUUGCAAAUAAUGUUGUAAAAUAGAGUUUCCAACUUUUUGUACAAAAAAUCAUUUACUAUUUUCUAAGUAUCAAAAAUGGGUGUUUCUUGUGAAGUGGGUUCAAAAAAUAGAGUGGAAAAUGGCACCACUCCAAUUUUCACAAAAAGUAGACCAUAUUAGAUGGACAAUUCCCAAGUUUUGUAGAUGUCUAGCUAAAAACUAACAAUUGGUGUAUUUUUUAAUAUUUAAUGAAAAUAAAAAAUGGGAAGGGCGGAUACUUAAUGGAUAACAUGGACAUCUGAGGGUGUACCUUUAAGUGUUGGAGAUGCCUUUAUGUGCUGGUUUAUGUCGUGCUCAACCUGCAAUGUACUAGAGUUAAUCAUGUUGGGUAACGGUGCAUGGAAAAACAAAAAAAAUCUAUGCACACGCAAUGAUCUAUCCAUGGAGAUGCAUAGCAACGAGGGGGAGAGUGUGUCUACGUACCCCCAUAGACCAAAAGCGGAAGCGUUUGACAAUGCGGUUGAUGUAGUCAAACUUCUUCUAGCUCCGACCGAUCAAGCACCGAACGUACGGCACCUCCGAGUUCUGCAUAUGUUUAGCUCGGUGAUGUCUCUCGUCUUCUUGAUCCAGCAAGACGUCGAGGAACUAGAUGAGUUCCGUCAGCACGACAGCGUGGUGAUUAUGAUGGUGAAGUGAUCCACGUAGGGCUUCGCUUAAGCACCGCGAGAAUAUGACCGGGGGUGUAAACUGUGGAGGGGGCGCCGCACACGGCUAACAAUUGAUGUUGUGUGUUCUAGGCGCCCCCUUCCCCACAUAUAUAUAGGUGGGAGGGGAGGGGAGGCAGCCAGGGGGCACCCCAAGUAGGAUCUGAAUCCUACUUGGGGUUUCCCCAAGUGACGCCCCCCCCCCUUCCUUUUUUCCACCGGAGAAGAAAGGAAGGGGGAAGAAGAGAAGGAAGGGAGGCUGAACCCCCUCUUCUCCUUCUCCUAUUUGGCCACUUGCCAUAGGGGAGGCGCGCCACCCCUUGUGGGCUGGUGUGAUCCCCUCUCAUGGACCAUAUGGCCCAUAUAUUCCCCCCUGGGGGUUCCGACAACCCACCCCCCCUCCCCCGGUACUCCUAUAAAUACCCGAUACAUUCGGGAACACUUCCGGUGUCCGAAUACUAUCAUCCUAUAUAUCAAUCUUUACCUCUCGACCAUUUCGAGAUUCCUCGGCAUGUCCAUGAUCUUAUCCGGGACUCCAAACAACAUUCGGUCACCAUAUCACAUAACUCAUAUAAUAUAAUAUCAUUAUCGAACGUUAAGCGUGCGGACCCUACGGGUUCGAGAACUAUGUAGACAUGACCGAGACACCUCUCCGGUCAAUAAACAAUAGCGGAACCUGGAUGCUCAUAUUGGAUCCUACAUAUUCUACGAAUAUCUUUAUCGGUCGAACCGUUAUGACAACAUACAUUAUUCCCUUUGUCUAUCGGUAUGUUACUUGCCCGAGAUUCGAUCGUCGGUAUCUGCAUACCUAGUUCAAUAUCAUUACUGGCAAGUCUCUUUACUCGUUUUGUAAUACAUCACCUUACUAACGGAUGGGUCUUGUCCAUCACAUCAUUCUUCUAAUGAUGUGAUCCCGUUAUCAAAUGACACCUCAUGUCCAUGGUUAGGAAACCUUAACUAUCUUUGAUCAACGAGCUAGUCAAGUAGAGGCUCACUAGGGGCAUAGUGUUUGUCUAUGUAUUCACACACGUAUUAAGGUUUUCGAUCAAUACAAUUCUAGCAUGAAUAAUAAACAUUUAUCAUGAAUAAGGAAAUAUAAAAUAAGAACUUUAUUAUUGCCUCUAGGGCAUAUUUCCUUCAAAUCAGUAUAUGUGUGCAUGCUUGGUUGUUAGUGAAAUGUUUUAUGUAUAUGUGUACAUGCUUGGUUGGGCCAACUUUGUGUAUUACAUUUUGUGAAAUACAAACUUGAUAUAUGCCACAUUUGUGUUAACGACCAAUAAGUAUAUACAUAACUAUAUUUUGCCUUCUUUUUCCUCCUCCACAAGAAAAGGUCCCACGCUUUUCUCCUCUCCAAUUGGCGCCGUAGCUGGUCCGCCCCAUCUUUGAUGGCCUUUGGGCCCUUUAGUACCGUACCGAACCAGCAGCCUUCGCGCCAAGCGACGACCGCCCUUGUCCCUUUCCUUUUUCCAUUCAGCCUACUUCUUAGCUUUGUUCCGUCAGUCUAAGGCAAAGCUUAAGUGGUUUGCCUACCUUACCCACUUGAUGAAAGGGAACGGACUUCAUUUCCUUGGUGGCUUUAUGGAUGGAUUCAGUCAGAAAAACUCCUUCCUUUUGAAAAAAGUGACACCACGAAGGUGAGUAGGACCUCAGGCCCUCGUUGGCGGGAGGGAACCUGCUCUCAUUCUUUUUUGGUUCAAUGUUUUGCUGGAGCUGUGUUGCGGCUAUGAUGUCUCUCAGUAGGAAUAAUGUUUCACAUGUUCUAUCCCUGUCUCGAUGGUGCCUCUAGCAUCAUCAUAGGGCAUGUGGAGGUGUGUCUCUAUCGGAUUUCGCAGGAUUCGGUCGGCAUUGGUCUUCGGUGGAUCUGUUUGGACACGGUCUAUGUUCAUCUUUGUGGUGUUUAUACUAUUGAUCCUUCCGAUCUAUGACUUUCUUCAUCGAUGAUGGUUGCUGCUUCGGUGCGCUGGUCCUUUGGGUCCUUAGCACGACAACUUCCUGACUAUUGACUACACCAAGGUUUGCCCNNNNNNNNNNCGAUGCACAGCUUUCUUUAGUGCUUGUAGUCAUCGCUAGGUGGUCCAUGGACCUGGUUGUAAUUUUUUGUAUCUCUGGUGUUCUUUGUACUGCCAUGAUUGAAGAUGAAUAGAUUGGAAGUUUCUCACGCAAAAAUAUUUAUAUAAAUAACUAUUUUAGCAAAAUUCGCAAAAAAGACUAUUUUAGCAAGUAAUAAAUUUUGACACCAAUUAUAUGGUAGUAAUUAAUAUUUCCCCUAAUAAUAUCCGCAUUGGAUCCAGGUUUUAUACUAUGUAUACAGACGGGAGUAUGUUUGGAUAAUUGUGUGAAUACAAGGAUAUAUCUUAGCAAAACUAUUUUUAGCAACAAGUAAAUGAAUUAAUAUAUGCUAGCUAUACUCUGCUGGUGAAAACAUGGUGUAUUAGUUGUACAAAGCAUGCAACACGGUUUCACUCCCCUUUAUAUUCCUGGGCGGAACACAAUUUCAGAUCCAAGUUUUAUGUUUGUCUACACACUCCCAUCUUCUUCCCAUAUCAGCAGGAAAAUUCACUCCAAUCAUCUCGCCAUUCUACACUUGGGAAAUCAGGUUUGCUUCAAUCUACCAUCCUUGAAUAUAUGCCCCACAUCUUGUUUCUGCGUCCUAAUCUUAUUAAGCUUGUAAUUAGUAGUUAGUGCAAGAUCAAAAAGGAGCUAUGGGCAAAACACCAUCCGCACCUGCUGAUAAAAUCACCAUAGGACAAGCGGCGCCUAAUCAUGAAAUAGCAGGAGAUUCAAGUGACAGUGAGAGAACAAUCAGUGAGGGUUAUGUGGGGAUCAUGUAUGGUGGUAGCCAAACCCACGAUGGCAACCUGGAAGGAGAAUCUGAUAUGGUAUUGCUAGCAACAGAUUCAAGUGACAGCGAGAGAACAAUCAGUGAGGGUUAUGUGGGGAUCCUGUAUGGUGGUAGCCAAACCCAAGAUGGAGACCUGGAGGGAGAAUCGGCUAUGGUAUUGCCUGCUGUAGGAGAGAAUACCACGGCGAGAUCUAACAGUCAUGGUCAUACGCGUAGCUUGGAAAUUGAUUCUACCUCUCGUACUGGGAGGCAUGCUGCCAGGUCAGAUUCUGUUCUAGUGGCACAACGCCGAGACUGCAUACAAAUUUACCCUGAGUGGCUGGAGAAAAUUGAUUCAGGCAAAAAGAUGUGGAUAGCUCUCAAAAAAUUUCGAGCAAAUGGGAAGCAUGAAGAGGUUAGUAUAUACACAUGUUCUGGUGUGCUCUCUCAUCAAAUAAUUUUCAUUGUGGGUUAAUCAUCUCAUAACAUAAGGAGUGUUUGCUUGAUGGGCAUUCAAACCAAAUGAUGAACGAAUUAGAUCCUAGGUUCUCCAAAAGAUGACAUUGUGUUUUGCUUCCGUUACCUCAUAGAUUUUCAGCCUUUGCGUCAAAAUGAUUUUGUGCAUUUGUUUUCGCACUAACUUGUAUUUUUUUUAAGCACAACCAUCCAUAUAUGUAAAAAAACUCAUGGCCACUUGUGUGAUUGAUAGAAAUCAGUUAACAUCUCAAUUUCCUCAUGUGCUAUUGUAUGACUACGGAGGUUUUUCU
rnacentral:lncRNA from 1 species